rnacentral:lncRNA from 1 species
CUGUACCAUAAAAUUAACACAAGCCAUUAGUCCAUUACAUUGUGGUAAAUUUAAAUCGAUGUCUGUUGAACUCUUUUAACUAUGCCAUACAUUUUAUUUUGUGACAACAAGAAAGGAUAGACUCGUGAAAUAACAACGGCCUUAAGAGUUAUUUUGUUACAAACAUACAAUAAAGAGUCACACCAAAAUGUAGUUUAAAGAAGAGCUCACCUUGAAUAGGAGAAGCUCCCAAGAGGGUGUCAACUCCCCUAUACUUGCAAGAUUUGCAGUAAACCACUCCCCUUACGCCUACAAACAUCCUCAUCGGAGGUGGAGUUGGUGGUUUAACUGGCGGAUAUGGUUUUACUGGAGGCUUAACUGGCGGAGAUGGUUUUACUGGUGGCUUAACUGGCGGAGAUGGUUUUACUGGUGGCUUAACUGGCGGAGAUGGUGGUUUACUAGGAGAAUGUGCUGGUGGAGUUGGCGGUUUAACUGGUGGAGAUGGUUUUACUGGUGGUUUAACUGGCGGAGAUGGUGGUUUGCUAGGAGAAUGUGCUGGUGGAGUUGGCGGUUUAACUGGUGGUUUAACUGGCGGAGAUGGAGGUUUACUAGGAGAAUGUGCAGGUGGAUACGGUGGUUUAACUGGUGGAGAUGGUGGUGGUGAAGAGUGAGAAGGAGGAGGAGCAGGGGCUGGAGAGUGCUUGUGGUGGUGGUGGUGGUGGUGGUGGCCACCUUUAUGAGGCUUAGGGGCUUCAACAGGUGGGGAGCUAACAGAGGAAUGAGGAGCUAGUUCUGAAGUCACAAUGCCAUCAACAUUUUGGCCAAGAACUGUGAAUGAAGUAACUAGUAGUAAAGCUACAAUAAACCCAAUGGACUUUGUUGGAACAAACCCCAUUUUGUUCGACAAAUGAUUUUUGUAAAUUGAACUCUGAGUAGGUGUGUAAGGGGAAAUGAGUGGCAUUUAUAGAGGGGGUGAAAGAGCCAUAUUGUGUGGUAUUCCCUCUUUUUAAUUUUAUUUUAAAAUUUUAAAAAAAAAAAAGUGUUUUCUUAAAGGCUCUUUAAUAGUAUUAAUUUCUACAUUAUAUUUUAAAAUCACAUAAUAAAAGAUAUUUUAAUGAUAUACCUUUCAGCUUUAGAUCAUAAGAUUCCAAAAUAUGUUUGUUUUUCUAAACGUUAAAUCUACAUAAAUAAAUUAAAAUGGAGGUAGUAGAUACAUAGUCUUUGCAUAUUAAUUAGAUUGGACCAAGAUUUAAGGAAAAAUAAAAUUCAAUAUACUCCUAUAAAAUACCGAUUACUCUUUAAAUGAAAUUAUGAUAGUAUAAUGAUCUCUUAUGUCACUUAUAAUUUAAACCGAAAAAUAAUUUCUUUAAACAAAAGUUCUUUUAACUUUCUUGCAAGCAAAUUUUUAUAUUAUACAACAACAACAAUCCCAGCGUACUCCCAAAGUGAGGCUGGGGAGGGUAAAAUAUACGCAGUCCAUAUCGCUAUCUCCGAAGAAGUAGAGAGGUUGUUUUCAAUAGACCCCUGGCUCAGGAUAGAGAAUAGUACACGAGGUCGUAGUGAAACAUGAAGCAGGAUGAAUCACAUAACAGGAAUAAGGAAUAAGAAAUAGUAAAAUAGAUAUCAGAGAAAUUCGAACUAAGAGAAAUACUAGUAAUACGAAAUAAGAAAUAAGAAAUAAGACACCCACCUUUGUAGUAACAUACACUCACAGACCAAAGACACCCACCACACCUAAACUCUCCUGACUAGAGGCUCCUACUUAUGGACACAGUCUUAGGAUUACUAAUCCGGCUACACAAGAGCUCUCCUAACACCUUGCUACAACCCACACACUCACACUAGUCUUCUAUCCUUAUCUAGGACCUCUACACCUUCCUAUCUAGGGUCAUGUCCUCAGUAAGUUGUAGUUGCUCCAUGUCAUGUUUAUCACCUCUCUCCAGUAUUUCUUCGGUCUACUUCUACUUCCCCUAAAGUCAUCCAAAACUAGCCCUUAUACCUACGAACUUGGGCAUCUGUGCCCCUCUUCAUCACAUGCCUAAACCAUCUCAGUCUUUCUUCUUGCAUCUUGUUUUCCUCCGAAGUCACUCUCAUCUUCUCCCUGAUAGUCUCAUUCUUAACUUUAUCCCCUCUAGUAAGUCCACACAUCCAACGCAACAUUCUCAUUUCCUCCACCUUCAAUCUUUGAACGUGAAAGUUCUUGACUGGAUAACACUCUACUCCAUACAGCAUGGUCGAACGGACGACCACUCUCUAUAAUUUGCCUUUAAGCUUAAGGGGUAUCUUCUUAUCACACAACACUUCCGAGACGAGCCUUACUCCACUUCAUCCAACCCGCUCCAAUACGUUUAGAGACAUUCUCAUCAAUCUCGUUAUUCCCCUGAAUCAUAGACCCAAUAUACUUACAACUAUCCCUCUUACAAACAUCCUGGGAAUCCAACCUCACCAUCGCUUCGUCCUCCUGACUCGAGUUACUAAAUUUGCAUACCAUAUACUCCGUCUUGGAUCUACUAAACCUGAACCUCUUAGAUUCAAGGGUUUGCAUCCAAACCUCCAAUUUUUCAUUCACACCCUCUCGCGUCUCAUGAAUCAACACUACAUCAUCUAAAAAUAACAUACAUCAUGGUACCUCACCUUGAAUACUCCAUGUCAACACGUCCAUCACCAGCGUAAACAAAAACGGGCUAAGAGUCGAUCCCUAAUGCAACCUUGUCUCAAUCGAAAAAUGUCCUUAGUCUCCUCCCGCCGUCCUCACCCAAAUCUUUCCUCCGUCGUACAUGUCCUUAAUAGCUCUGAUGUACGCCAACGGAACCCCUCUUACCUCCAAGCAUCUCCAAAGAACCUCCGUAGGAACUUUGUCAUACGUCUUCUCCAAGUCGAUGAACACCAUGUGUAAAUUCCUCUUCCAUUCCCUAUACUACUCCACUAAUCUCCUCACCAGGUGGAUUGCCUCUGUCGUUGAGCGACCAGGCAUACAAUCAAACUGAUUUUCUGAAAUGGACACGACCCUCUUCAAUCUCCGCUCAACCACCAUCUCCCAAAUCUUCAUAGUGUGACUCAACAGCUUAAUACCUCUAUAGUUGUUGCAACUCUGAAUGUCACCCUUGUUUUUAUAUAACGGAAUCAUCGUACGUCAUCUCCAAGCCUCAAGAAUUUUCGCACUCUUGAAAAUGUCGUUAAAUAAAUCAGUCAACCACCUUAAACCUGCCUUACUAGUAUACUUCCAAAAAUCAACCAAAAUCUCAUCAGGCCCGGUCACCCUACCCCUACGCAUCUAACGAAUAGCCUCUCUGACCUCCUCAACCUUAAAACGUCUACAGUAACUGAAAUCACAGCUUUCCUCCGAGCGCUUCAGCUCUCCUAACUCAAUGCUUCUGUCCCCUUCCUCGUUCAAAAGUUUAUGAAAAUAUUUCUGCCACCUCUUCUUAAUGCGAACAUCCUCCACCAAAGCUCUAUCAUCCUCCCCCUUAAUGCACUUCACUUGAUCGAGGUCACUAUCCUUCCUCUCCCUAACCUUAGCCAGCCUAUACAACCCUUUUUAUCAGUCUUUCUCCUCUAACCCCGCAUACAAGCUCUCAAAUGUUGCUGUCUUAACAGUCGUAACUGCUAAAUUUGCCUCCUUCCUUGCUACUUUGAAAACCUCCCUAUUCACCCUUUUCUCCUCCUCAUCUUUACUCUCAAUCAACUUAACAUACGCUCUCUUCUUGAUCUUCACUUUCUUCUUAACUUUUUCAUUCUACAAUCCCCCUUAUGCCGACCUGCCCAACCCCUCGAAACAUCCAACACCUCUCUAUCCGUCUCCGUGAUGCAGCUGGCAGCGUUAUCCCACAUACCAUCUGCGUCUCCCUAUGCUCCCAUACCCUCAUUCCCACCACCUUCUCCCCUAUCUCUCACGCACUAACUGACGUCAAGCCACCCUACUUAAUUCUGGGUUGACCCUCUCCGGCCCUACUCUUCUUGCUCUUCUUGAUAAUCAAGUUCAUCACCAAAAGCUUGUGCGGGGUCGAAAGGUGCUCACUCGGAAUGACUUUACAGUCCUUACAUAAAACUCUAUCUCCUUUCCUAAGUAGGAGAAAGUCAAUCUGAGUCUUGGGUAACGCACUUCGAAAGACAGGUGAUCCUCCUUUUUCGGAAAAAUCGAAUUCACUACCACCAGCCCAAAGGCUCUCGCAAAAUCUAACAGAGAAACCCCCUCACUAUUUCUAUCGCCAAAACUAAAACCUUCAUGCAAUCGGCAUAACCUCCCGCUAAAACCCUAAUAUGUCCAUUGAAGUCCCCCGCUAUGACAAUCUUCUUCGAGCUAGGCACGCUUCUUACUACCUCAUCCAAAGUCUCCCAAAAUCUCGCUUUCACCUUCUCUUCCAAGCCCACCUGCGACGCAUAAACACUACACACAUGCAACGUAAACCCUCCAAUGACCAACUUAAUCAUCAUCCGCCUAUCACUGACCCUAUUAACCUCCACUACCUGCCCUCUAAGCUUUCGUCCACUAAGAUGCCCACUCCAUUCCAACGCCUCUCACUCCCUGAGUACCACGGCUUGUACCAAUCCACAUCCCUCUCCUUAGACCUUACCCAUUUUGUCUCCUGAAUACACGCAAUAUUAAUCUUCCUCUUCUUAAGAAUCUUCACCAGCUCUACAGACUUACCCUAGAGGUCCCUAUGUUCCAAGACCCUACCCUCAACCUAGCCUCUCUCGCCACUCGCCUCCGUCUUCCACCCCUCACCGAACCAGCCCUAACACCCGACCUAGACCCCACACCCGCCCGUGCCUUCCCCUCCCGAAACAGUCCCCACUCCCACCCCCUCCCCCUCAGACAUGGCCCUAUUCCAUCAACAACACUCACAGCCACUACUCAAUAAUCGGAACAAAGCCCCAAACCAAUUUUUUAUAUUAUAUUUGUAAAAAUUAAAAUUUCUUUAAAAAAAAUUGAAACAAAAUUAGCAAAGAACUAUAUAAUCAAUUGAGCCUAACUUUAAAUGAAAAGAAUACAUAAAUGAAAAGAAUACAUAAAUGGAGCAAAGGAAAUGCGGUGAAAUAUAAUUAUUAUGAACAAUGAAAAGAUUAAGUAAAAAAAAGGUGGACGAAUCAUAAAUAUGGGGGCCAUCUGGAGCUGUUUAAUGGACCAGAAAUGAGUAUUAGGACAAAUUAAAGAGGGCGGGGGGGGGAUAUAUCUCAUAAUCAAGAAAAAUAAAGAUAUUGUAACAGGUGGCUAAAUGCUUCACAUGCAGAGGACAUGAUGGGGCAUGUUAUUUUUGGUAAUUUUGCACAUCUAACCAUACCCUGUACAAUUUUCCAAUGUCCUUUGUUUUCAUGUAAUAUCUUAGUCCCUAUAAAUGGUGUAAUAAUUAAAGGAGACAUGUAGUGCAGAGCAAUAGAUUCAUCGUGGCUUUUCCAUUCCAGCUAAUCAUCUUUAAAUUCCUGUAAUUACAUGCUAUGUUAAUUAAUUCGAAAACAGUACACAGACUCGUCAGCUUUCUCUUUUCUCUUCAUCUCUUCUUAUUUAGCCCUUCUUUAUCUUUGAACAUUUGUUGCAGUUUAGUUUGAAUUCUCGAUUGGAGGAGUCUUGUCCAAGCUAUGUCGUAAUUUAUGUGAUAUACCUUUUCUUUUUAUCAAUCUCAAAAUAUAUAUAUGAUUCUUUUAUAAAUAUCUAAGUUCUAUUUUAAAUUACAAAUUAUAGAGUCUUCUGUAUUUUUUAAGUUGAAGUGGAGUCUUGGAGUAGCUAAUAAAGUUAGUGUCAUGUGAUCAAGAGGUUACGGGUUCAAGUCUUGGAAAUAGCCUCUGGCAGAAAUGUAAGGUAAGACUGCGUACGAUACACUCUUGCAGAUGCGAACCUACCUUGGCACUAGGGGGUGCAAGUGCACCCGCUAGCCUCGCAAAAAACUCCGUAUAUAUAGUUUGUAUAUUUGUAUAUAUAUAAGGUAUUGUGUUAAAUAUAUAUUGUGCACCCACAAAAAUAAUUGACUUGAUUGAUAGGAUGAUUGAUCAUGCCAGUUAAAGUCUUUUUUAUUGCGUGGUGACUCGGGUUCGAAGCCCAACAACAAUAUUUUUUAAUUGCUUCUUUUUCCAAAUACUCUAUUUGUUUGUUGUUUUCUGUUUGAAAUUUUAAGUGCAAACAAACACACACACAUAUAUAUCAUUUGAUUAAAAAAAACUUCCUACUUAGUAAUUAUUUAUUUUAUACUUUUUCUUUUUUCUUUUUUCUUUUAUGUAUUGUGGGCAUUGUUGAUGUAUUUUUCAUUUUAAUUCAAAAUUCAAGCUUCCCUUCAACUUCAUAAUGUAGAUAUUCUCCCUAUCUUGUACUCUAAAUGUUUAUUUCUUUUAUCUUUUGAUCAUUGACUUAUUUUUUAUUUAAAAAAUUAGCAAUUUAAAGUUUGAGAUAGACUUAAAUCAAACGUUUUUCAUACAAUCAUCUAGCAAACAAAUCUCUUGAAUUUCAUAUUUUUCAAAAACUUUUUAUUAUUAUUUAAAAUAUAAAAGUACAUUGAAUUCAAGUAUGAGGGAUAACACACUUUUGUCAUAUUAAAUCUAAUUAAUGAUACUCAAUAAUAUUAAAAGUUUGUUUAUAAAAUACUAUAAUUAAUGAAUUUUCAAAGAGCUGUAUGUCAAACUUUGACACUAUUAAUUAUUAUGUUAAAUAUAGAGGUGCACCCGUUAAGCUCAAAUCCUGGGUUUGCUUCUGCACCCUUGUGGUGGGGCCCUUCCGCGGACACCGCGCAUAGUGGUAGCUUUAGUGCACCGGGUUGUCCUUUUGGAAAGGGAACAUAACUGGUAAAGUUGCUGUCAUGUGACCAGGAGGUCACAGGUUCAAGCCUUGGAAACAACCUCUUGCAGAAAUGCAAGGUAAGUUGUGUACAAUACACCCUUGUGGUGGGGUCCUUUUUCGGACAUCGCGCAUAGCGGUAACUUUAGUAUACCAGGCUGUCUUUUUUUUUUUAAAAAAAAAUUUAAGUUAAAAAUUUGAAGUGCCACUAACCCUUUCAUUCUUAUCGCUCCGGAUUCCGAUCUUUAUGACCUCCGAGCGGCCAAAUAGCGUGAAAAGGGUCCUCAAAAUCAGGCAAGCACUGAACCUGUCCUGAAUUCAGCUUCAGAAAAAAAAGGAUACCACUUAAGGGAAGUUUGGUGUGAGGUAUAAUGAAUAAAUAAUCUCGAAAUAAAUGAUGAAUUAUUUUAUUUCAUAUUUAAUUGAAAGGAAUAAGUUAUUUCAUAUGCAUGGUGAAUAAGUUAUCUCAAAUAAUUUUAAAAUAAUUAAUUCUAAAAUUAAUUAUCUUAAAAUAACUAUUUCCAAAUAAACGAUGGCUUAAAUUGUGACGAGGGAGAAACUAGUAGGACAUGGAGGUGUAUAAUACAACACAGAACUCCAGGAGUAACGGCUAAAUUCCAGCGCAGCAGCUUCCCGAAUAAGGCUGCCUCUUAAGUCUUGGUUACCUUCUCGAGGAAACUACUGCGUUCCAGAUUUCAAAUAUUACUCCAUAAAGUUGCGUAACGAUUCUUUAAUUCAAUGAUUAAUUAUUUCCUCUCUUCUAUUUUAUCCGUUUCAAAUUUUUUAAUUUAAUAUUUCAUUUUACUUGUCCUUUUUAACUUAUCAAGACAAGAUAAUUUUUCUCUCCAUAUUUUAUCCUUUAUAUUAAUUACUUUUUCUAUAAAUGAAAAUGUAAACAUCAUUUAAUAGGGAUAUUAUAGUAAACUAGCUAUGCUAUUUAUUAUUUUUCUUAAUAGUUGUAUCAUCCCAAUUUAGGACGAGUAAAAUGGGAUGGAGGAAAUAGUAUCUGGCUUAAUUAAAAGUUCAAGGAAUCAAGUUGAAUUUAAGUUUUGUUCACCGUUAGUGUACAAAAUAUUACACACUAUUAGGUGAACUUGAUUUGUUAUUUUUAAUUUUUUAAUUUUUAUGUAAAUAAUUAGGUAACCUGCAAUAGCAAGUCAAGUUAACUAGUAGUGUAAAAUUUUUUGUAUACUAACGAUGCACAAAACUUAAACUCAAUUGAAUUUAAGAUAUGAAAAACGUCUUAAAUAAAGUAAUUUUUUUUUUCUUAUAAAAAGGUGUUUUUGAUAUGAAUUCAAUUAGUGGGAUCAUAAAAUAAAUAUCUCAAACACAUAUAAUUCGUACUCGUCAGUUUUCUACCGACACAAUUUGAUAUCACGGAAUUUAAAGUAGAGUAAACAAUUUUCUAUUGCACGUUAACUAAAACUUAUAGUAAAUAUUAUUUAGCUGUUGGAAUUAUGAUUAAUUUGAAUUGAGUAUUUUAAUAUAAUAACAUAUUUUUAUUGAAUAUUUUUUAUUUAAAUGUUAGAAAAACUUAUGAUCACAUUCUCAAACACUCAUAGGUAAAUAAAUCAAUUAUUAAAUAUUAUUAGUAUCUUUUUUAAUGAUAUGCAUUAUUCUCAAUAACCGAUAAAACCUCAAGACUUGAUGGUGAUGUUUGAGUGUUUAAAUAAGAAAAAUAUGUUGACGGUGUCCAAAAAGUUGAAACAGUAAAAAUAUAGUAGUACUUUGACCCUCAUUCCUAUUAGGGGUGGGGUCGUUUGGUCAGAAAAGUGUCAUUUUGAGUUGAGGAAAGACGUGUUUUUACCUCAAACUUGUAAUCUAAACUCACUUUCAACACUUAAACUUAACUUUUGUUUAUAUAUUCUUUUUAACAUCUUUAAACUAUAUUAAUUUCACCCUUCAAAACUGAAUACCACUCUCACAAUAGAGAGUAUACAUACACGCCGAUAAAUCAGCAUCACGUCACUGUCACAUCGAAGUCACGCAAAAAAAGAAUUUUUUAAAAAUAAUUAUAUAUAUAUAUAUAUAUUUGACUAAUCUUCUAGGUAUUUAUUUAUAUAUGAACCCAAAAUUUCAAGCCUGAAAUUCUAGUUCAUCAUAAACAUUGCUAGUUUCAACACUGCCCAAUGUAUGGAUCUUCAUUUUUGGGUCUUAAAUUUCAACAUAAACUAACUAAAUUCAUACCAAUUAAACUUAAAUUUCAACUACAGCUUCACAACAUCAUUAGAAAAUCUCAAUAAUUAAUUCAAUAAACUCAUUUUUUUUGUCUUCAAGCUUUUUUAAAGGUCCAAUAAUGGUGGAUACAAAAUUAAACUAGUAAAAUUCAUACCAAUCGAACUCAAAUUUCAGAUACAACUUUACAACAUCAUUAGAAAACUUCAAUAAUCAAUUUCGACAUCAAUCUCAUCUUGAAUUUGCUAAACUCAUUUUUUUUGUCUUCAAGCUUUUUCAAGCUUAAACAAUGACAGAUACAAAAUUAAACAAGCAAAAUUCAUACCAAUCAAACUCAAAAUUCAAGUACAACUUUACAUCAUCGUGGAAAACACCAAUAAUCAAUUUGAACAUCACCCAUGAAUUUGACACUCAUUAUUUUUUUGUCUUCAAAAUUUUUUCAAGGUUCAAUAAUGGUGGAUAUAAAAGACAAUCUCAUAAAUCCAACAACAAAUUUCUUAAAAAUUUACAUAAGUAAUUUAGUUCAACAAUCAUGUAUUGAAAGACUUUCUUUUCCAAAAUUAUUUUCUAACCCAUUAGAGUUCACUCCCUCGCACAAGCAACUCUAACGGCUCCCUCUCUUUCCCCCUACCCUCUCUCUCUCUCGCUCGCUCGCACUGGUCCCCGGCCCCCGUCGCCGUCGCCGACCCGACCCGACCUCUNNNNNNNNNNNNNNNNNNNNNNNNNNNNNNNNNNNNNNNNNNNNNNNNNNNNNNNNNNNNNNNNNNNNNNNNNNNNNNNNNNNNNNNNNNNNNNNNNNNNNNNNNNNNNNNNNNNNNNNNNNNNNNNNNNNNNNNNNNNNNNNNNNNNNNNNNNNNNNNNNNNNNNNNNNNNNNNNNNNNNNNNNNNNNNNNNNNNNNNNNNNNNNNNNNNNNNNNNNNNNNNNNNNNNNNNNNNNNNNNNNNNNNNNNNNNNNNNNNNNNNNNNNNNNNNNNNNNNNNNNNNNNNNNNNNNNNNNNNNNNNNNNNNNNNNNNNNNNNNNNNNNNNNNNNNNNNNNNNNNNNNNNNNNNNNNNNNNNNNNNNNNNNNNNNNNNNNNNNNNNNNNNNNNNNNNNNNNNNNNNNNNNNNNNNNNNNNNNNNNNNNNNNNNNNNNNNNNNNNNNNNNNNNNNNNNNNNNNNNNNNNNNNNNNNNNNNNNNNNNNNNNNNNNNNNNNNNNNNNNNNNNNNNNNNNNNNNNNNNNNNNNNNNNNNNNNNNNNNNNNNNNNNNNNNNNNNNNNNNNNNNNNNNNNNNNNNNNNNNNNNNNNNNNNNNNNNNNNNNNNNNNNNNNNNNNNNNNNNNNNNNNNNNNNNNNNNNNNNNNNNNNNNNNNNNNNNNNNNNNNNNNNNNNNNNNNNNNNNNNNNNNNNNNNNNNNNNNNNNNNNNNNNNNNNNNNNNNNNNNNNNNNNNNNNNNNNNNNNNNNNNNNNNNNNNNNNNNNNNNNNNNNNNNNNNNNNNNNNNNNNNNNNNNNNNNNNNNNNNNNNNNNNNNNNNNNNNNNNNNNNNNNNNNNNNNNNNNNNNNNNNNNNNNNNNNNNNNNNNNNNNNNNNNNNNNNNNNNNNNNNNNNNNNNNNNNNNNNNNNNNNNNNNNNNNNNNNNNNNNNNNNNNNNNNNNNNNNNNNNNNNNNNNNNNNNNNNNNNNNNNNNNNNNNNNNNNNNNNNNNNNNNNNNNNNNNNNNNNNNNNNNNNNNNNNNNNNNNNNNNNNNNNNNNNNNNNNNNNNNNNNNNNNNNNNNNNNNNNNNNNNNNNNNNNNNNNNNNNNNNNNNNNNNNNNNNNNNNNNNNNNNNNNNNNNNNNNNNNNNNNNNNNNNNNNNNNNNNNNNNNNNNNNNNNNNNNNNNNNNNNNNNNNNNNNNNNNNNNNNNNNNNNNNNNNNNNNNNNNNNNNNNNNNNNNNNNNNNNNNNNNNNNNNNNNNNNNNNNNNNNNNNNNNNNNNNNNNNNNNNNNNNNNNNNNNNNNNNNNNNNNNNNNNNNNNNNNNNNNNNNNNNNNNNNNNNNNNNNNNNNNNNNNNNNNNNNNNNNNNNNNNNNNNNNNNNNNNNNNNNNNNNNNNNNNNNNNNNNNNNNNNNNNNNNNNNNNNNNNNNNNNNNNNNNNNNNNNNNNNNNNNNNNNNNNNNNNNNNNNNNNNNNNNNNNNNNNNNNNNNNNNNNNNNNNNNNNNNNNNNNNNNNNNNNNNNNNNNNNNNNNNNNNNNNNNNNNNNNNNNNNNNNNNNNNNNNNNNNNNNNNNNNNNNNNNNNNNNNNNNNNNNNNNNNNNNNNNNNNNNNNNNNNNNNNNNNNNNNNNNNNNNNNNNNNNNNNNNNNNNNNNACCUUUCGAAGCGCGAUAGCCAGGACCCAGAUUGACUUUUUGUUGCUUAGGAAAGGGGAUAGGGCGUUGUGUAAGGACUGUAAAGUCAUCCCGAUUGAGAAUCUUUCGACCCAGCAUAGGCUCUUGGUUAUGGAUUUGGGUAUAAAGAAGAAUAGAAAGAGGAGGAGUAAGGAGUGUAGACCUAGAAUUAAGUGGGACGGCCUGACGCUAGUGAAUGCGUGGGAGAUAGGGGAGAGAUUGACGGGAAUGGGGGUGUGGGAGUGUAGGGGGGACGUGGAUAGUAUGUGGGACAGGGCGGCAAGGUGCAUCAGAGAGAAUGCAAGUUAGGUGUUGGGUGUUUCUAGGGGCCGGGACGGACACCAUCGGGGGGAUUGGUGGUGGAAUGAAGAGGUGGAGAAGAAAGUGGGGACCAAGAAAGGGGCGUAUGCUAAGUUGGUGGAAAGUAAGGACGAAGAGGAGAAGCGGGUAAACAGGAAAGAGUACAANNNNNNNNNNNNNNNNNNNNNNNNNNNNNNNNNNNNNNNNNNNNNNNNNNNNNNNNNNNNNNNNNNNNNNNNNNNNNNNNNNNNNNNNNNNNNNNNNNNNNNNNNNNNNNNNNNNNNNNNNNNNNNNNNNNNNNNNNNNNNNNNNNNNNNNNNNNNNNNNNNNNNNNNNNNNNNNNNNNNNNNNNNNNNNNNNNNNNNNNNNNNNNNNNNNNNNNNNNNNNNNNNNNNNNNNNNNNNNNNNNNNNNNNNNNNNNNNNNNNNNNNNNNNNNNNNNNNNNNNNNNNNNNNNNNNNNNNNNNNNNNNNNNNNNNNNNNNNNNNNNNNNNNNNNNNNNNNNNNNNNNNNNNNNNNNNNNNNNNNNNNNNNNNNNNNNUUCAGGACGGCAAAGAUGCUCGAGGCGUGGAGGUGGAGUACCAUGAUCCCCCUCUAUAAGAAUAAGGGGGACAUUCAGAGUUGUAAUAACUAUAGGGGGAUUAAGUUAUUGAGUCACUCUAUGAAGAUCUGGGAGAGAGUGGUCGAGGUGAGGCUGAGACGGAUAGUGUCUAUUUCGGAAAACCAGUUCGGAUUUAUGCCCGGCCGCUCGACGACGGAGGCAAUCCACCUGGUACGGAGGUUGGUAGAACAGUAUAGGGAAAGGAAAAAGGAUCUGCACAUGGUGUUUACGACCUGGAGAAGCCUUACGACAAAGUCCCCAGGGAGGUGCUUUGGAGAUGCUUGGAGGUGAGUGGAGUACCGCUGGCAUAUAUCAGAGCAAUUAAGGAUAUGUAUGAUGGAGCGAAAACUCAGGUGAGGACGGCGGGAGGAGACUCAGAGCAUUUCACUGUCCUGACAGGAUUGCAUCAAGGAUCUACUCUUAGUCCCUUUUUGUUUGCGUUGGUGAUGGAUGUGUUGACGCGGCGUAUUCAAGGGGAGGUGCCGUGGUGUAUGCUUUUUGCAGACGAUGUAGUUCUGAUAGAUGAGACUCGAGGGGGUGUGAAUGACAAAGUAGAGGGGUGGAGGCAAACUCUUGAGUCUAAAGGGUUCAGGGUGAGCAGAAGCAAGACAGAGUAUGUGGAAUGCAAGUUUAAUGACGUGAGGCGGGAGAAUGAGGUAGUAGUGAAGCUGGAAUCACAGGAGGUAGGUAAGAGGGAGAGUUUCAAGUAUCUCGGGUCNNNNNNNNNNNNNNNNNNNNNNNNNNNNNNNNNNNNNNNNNNNNNNNNNNNNNNNNNNNNNNNNNNNNNNNNNNNNNNNNNNNNNNNNNNNNNNNNNNNNNNNNNNNNNNNNNNNNNNNNNNNNNNNNNNNNNNNNNNNNNNNNNNNNNNNNNNNNNNNNNNNNNNNNNNNNNNNNNNNNNNNNNNNNNNNNNNNNNNNNNNNNNNNNNNNNNNNNNNNNNNNNNNNNNNNNNNNNNNNNNNNNNNNNNNNNNNNNNNNNNNNNNNNNNNNNNNNNNNNNNNNNNNNNNNNNNNNNNNNNNNNNNNNNNNNNNNNNNNNNNNNNNNNNNNNNNNNNNNNNNNNNNNNNNNNNNNNNNNNNNNNNNNNNNNNNNNNNNNNNNNNNNNNNNNNNNNNNNNNNNNNNNNNNNNNNNNNNNNNNNNNNNNNNNNNNNNNNNNNNNNNNNNNNNNNNNNNNNNNNNNNNNNNNNNNNNNNNNNNNNNNNNNNNNNNNNNNNNNNNNNNNNNNNNNNNNNNNNNNNNNNNNNNNNNNNNNNNNNNNNNNNNNNNNNNNNNNNNNNNNNNNNNNNNNNNNNNNNNNNNNNNNNNNNNNNNNNNNNNNNNNNNNNNNNNNNNNNNNNNNNNNNNNNNNNNNNNNNNNNNNNNNNNNNNNNNNNNNNNNNNNNNNNNNNNNNNNNNNNNNNNNNNNNNNNUGGACUGCGUACAUCUUACCCCCCCCCCAGACCCCACUAGGUGGGAAUACACUGGGUUUGUUGUUGUUGUAUUUUCUAACCCAUUAAACUUCAUAAUUUUUCACACACAUUUUUUUCUUUCUUGAAGAUAUUAAUAAAGAUAAUAGAAGUGGAGAUGGAGAGUUAGAAGAAAGAGAAAGGAAACUGGGGUAGGAUAGAAAUACAAGAAAACGAAAUGGAGUGAGGAUGGGGGGCUUAUGAAGAAGAUGAAGAUCGGGUGGGGUGAGAGGUAAAGGGUGAGUUUCUCUUUAUAUAUAUAAAUAUAAAUAUAAAUAUAAAUAUAAAUAUAAAUAUAUAUAUAUAUAUAUAUUAUCGUCCACCAGAGUAUGAAUGAUAAACUAGAGGUGUGGAGACAGACCCUUGAGUCUAAGGGNNNNNNNNNNNNNNNNNNNNNNNGUGAGUCUUUCUCUCUCUCUCUCUCUCUCUCUCUCUCUAUAUAUAUAUAUAUAUAUAUAUAUAUAUAUAUAUAUAUAUAUAAAAUUAAAAAAAGUGGGACCAUAUCAGUUUAUUAAUAGAAAACGUGCUUUUUUUUGCUUUUUUUUUAAAUUCCACGUCAGUUUGAGGGGUGAAAUUAAUACGCUUUAAAGAUGUUUAGGGGGUAAAUAAAUGAAAAUUAAGUUUAAGUGCUAAAGUGAGUUUGGAGGACAAGUUCAGGAGGGAAAAGAUGUUUUUUCUCUUUUGAGAUUAGCUAUCGUGAGGUUAGUUAUCAGUUAUCAUAGUAUUAUAUAUAUGAGAUAAAUAAUUUUGAUACUAAUUAAUACCUCAGACUAACAUCAAAUAAAAUAAUUUUUUAUUUUAUCUCGAGUCUAUUUAUCCUUUAUACCUUUCACCAAAUGACUCCUGAAAGCUUUUUAUUAGGAUAUGAUUAGUAGGGAGAAAAAUGUUUUCGACUUUUUUCCUAUUUAAUUGAUCAAAAUAUUUUUUUUAGAAAAAAAAAAAAGAUUUUCAAGUAUGAGGAAAUUAACACUUUCUUCAUGAAAGUAGGAAAAACAAACUUCAUUAAUAAGUGACGUUCGGACGUUCCAAGUUAGAGGUAUCAUUUAAUACCUCCAGGCUCCAACCAUGCAUCUCACUCCCAACCCAGCCACCCUUGAAAACCCCCAGUACCCAACCCAUCCCUCCGCCAUAGCAUUUUGCUGAGGAAUAUAUAAAUAAUUUUAAAAUAAUAUUUUCUUGCUUAUUUAUCAAAUUAAACACAAAAAAUAAAUAAAUAGAAAAUUCACUUUUUUUUUCAUGAAAAUAUUUUUAGAAAAAUCAUUUUCUAUGAGAAACAUUUUAGUUCAUAUACCAAACAUGCCCUUAAUGCACGAACCUUUUUCGGACAGGGACUCCAUAACCAUGGUUGUAAAUAUAUUGAUUAAAUUAAAAAUCAAAACCAAAUUAGGUACCUAUUGGUAACUACACUACAGAAAAGGUUAAACAUUGGACAUGGGAUCAACAUUUUCCUUUUUCCUUUAUGGUACGUCACGUGAUGGGGUUUCAUCUUUUCAUCAGUCGAAGUAUGGAUAAUUAUGCUCACAUUUUGAGGACUUAAAAUGAAUAUUAUAUUCGAAGAAGGGAAAACAACAACCAAUAUAUGUAAUAACACAUAAUUUUAACUCCAAAAUUGGAAAACACACUGUUUUACUUAUAACCCAUAUGCAGCAAAUUAAUGGGUAUCCUUCAUUGUUAAAGGUCUAUCACUUGAUUAAUUAACAGUAAUAGAUAAAUGUAGGUCUCACAAAUUUUCUUGUGGUUUUCAUCAAAAAGGAAACAAAUAUCAAAAGAAGAGACAUACUUUACUUUCUUGUGCUUAGAGACUCAUCUAAACAUUAUAUACAGGAAUUCAGAUUUUCACCUCCUUAUUUUAUUACUCUCUUUGUUUAACAAUUACUUUCCUUUUCAGUUCAUUUAAAAAAGAAUGAUCCCUUUUUCUUUUUGGCAAUACUUUAAUUUUAAUUUUUCAUAUGACAUGUUUAAGACCACAAGAUUAAAAGAUAUUUUGGUACAUUUGAUACAACUUUAAUUUAAGGCCACAAAGUUUAAAAGUCUUCUUUAUUUUUUUAAAUUUUGUGCCAAGUCAAAGUAGGUCAUUCUUUUUUAAACGGAGAAAGUAUAUUAUAAUACUAUUAUGUUACACUUGGGCAACCUAACAACUGAUACUCUAAGUAGUACAUGGGCUUUGUUUAACAGGCUUAACUGGGCCAUCAGAUCCAAUGAAUGUUCAUCACUGCUAACAUUCCGGGUCAGUUCAGGCCUUGAUAUCCAGCUAACAGACAGUAGCAGAGCAAUACACUAUUUUUCUUUUUUAAAAAAAUGGGGGUAGAGGAACACGUUGGGAGAGGGAUUACACGGCAGGGAAUUGAGUUCUUCACCAGCAAGAUGAAAACAUAGUCAACUAGUUGAGCUAUUAAUUAAGAUUUCUCUUUAGAGGGCAGUACUAAUUACCCUUGCAGACAAAAAAUUUCUUCACUCGAUAUUUAUGUUAAAGCAAAUAAUUUGACAUUAGCAGUUAGGAGUUAAAAUAAAAAGUUUUUAUUCGAAUUUAAGUCACAAAUGUGUGAGUGAAAUUAAAACGUAUAUCUUAUAUUCAUUUGUUUGGUAAAAAUAUAGAGUACCAUUAAUUUUUUUAUCCUCAACUUAGUACCCUGUAGGACAUUUCUAUCUUUUUUUUUAUUGAUACUUUUUUCCUAUUUAAUCCACUUAAGAAAGGAUUGAGACAUUUUUAUAUUUAGCAACUCAUUUAUAUUAUAGUAUUCACAUUUUAUUCUUGAUAAAUUUUCUUAUAGCUAGGAAUGACAGGACUAUAGUACAAGAUUCUAAAUAUAUUUUGGUAUUUUCUGCAUAUUAUUUAAUAUAACACAAGCAUUUACUUCGUUCGAUCAAGUAAAAUUAGAAGAAUUGGUCCUCUUUAUUCGAUCAAAGCACAAUAUAAUCAUUUAUUUUUUCAGGUGGUCUGAAGUUGUAGGGCAGAGGGAACAUAAUUCAUAUAAGGAAAGUUAAAAUUACACAUUUCAAUUUUUAUAACUUCGUUAUCAUUCGUCCAUUAGAAGUCAAUAUAAAAUGGUUACAAUUUUUUAUAACCUUCAUUUCUAGAUUUUGCCACUGAAUAUCCAUAGUUGAUUUUGCUCGAAAAAUAAAAAAGAUUUUUCCGUCAGGAACUCAAAUCCUUUCGUAUUUUUAUUUUCCUCAGUUUUCCUAGCUAGUACUACAAUAUUAUUGAACUCAAUUACUUUCUGCAUGGGAAUUUUCUCUGGGCUUCGAAUAUAAAUGGCCCUACACCAAAGAAAUCAAACUUGGGUGGUUGCAUUGGUCCUGGGCCAGGAUUACCUGGUGGUUUUGGUGGCGGCAUAGGUUUCAAUACAUCACCAGAUUUUCCAUUGUUGAAAUUUGUUGGCACAUUGCAAAUGCAUUUUGGUGAUUUGAUUAAGUAUACCUUGCAUUUGUGGACAUCUGAACUGGUUAAAGAUUUGGGUGUAAUAGCAAAAUCACCAUUCCUAUCUGUCAAUGCUGUUUGAACAUUUGCAUUGUUCCCAUUAUUGUGACACUCUAGCUUCACUGUAGCUCCUGAAGCAUAAACAAACACACAGCCUUUGAAAAAUUGAAGUAUAAGCUCAAUCAAAAUAAACAACAGAACUUAGAUUUGAUCCAUUUAGCUAUAUAAAGAACUUGUAUUUAUACAUAUAUAUUUUUCAGAGGCUAAUCAAGUAGGGUUGGAGCCAGUCCUCCACCUAUGUAUAUGUCUGGCUGAAUUUAGUAGCUUUCACUCAAAACUUUAUAUAUGUUUUGUAUUCAAAAAAUCAAGUUUAUGAAUAUAUUUUGUUUCAAGAAUUCAAUAAUAAAAAAUAAUUGUGAUUUAGAACCUAUAUGCUAAAAAUUAUGUUUGACAAGUUCAGAUAUUAAGACUAUUAACUAGCACUGUAACUUACUGUAUUUUUGAAUUCAAGAUUUAAUUAAUUUUAAUACUAUAAAAUUUUAGUAACUUCUCACACGUUAACCCUAUUGAACAAAGUUUGAAUUUGUCUCUGUGUAUUUAAAUGUGUUGUAUGAUAAUUUGCCUUAUUUCCUAGGUUAGUAAUUCCUUUUUUCUUUUGUAAGAGUGGUUAUCUAACAAAAUUAUUUUUUAAUUGAUCUGACAACGUAAAGAAUUUAAGUUGCAUGAAAGUUGUAGUAAUUUGUUUGAGUGCAUGCAAAUAGAAUGUGAAGGUAAUGAGGAGAGAAGGUAGUAAAAUAACCCUCGAGUGGAAAGGCUCUGAAGAGAUCUGGAAGUCCUCUGCUACUGCAAGAUUUGCAAUUAACACGGCCGACGACGAUUAGAGGCUUUCCGGCGGGAUGAAUUACCGGCGGUGGCAGCUUAUAUACUGGUGGACAUACAGUUGGUGGAAAUGGUUUUAUAAUAGGUGGUUGAUUAAUUGGUGGACGUGGUUCAUUGAUUGGUGGCUCAAGGAUCGGAGGCUCAAUAAUUGGUGGUUCGUCAUAAUCAUUUGGUGGCGGUGGUGAUGACUUAAUAGGUGGUUGAUUAGUUGGUGGUGAUGGUAGUCUCCUUGGUAGUUGAGUAGCUGGUGGUGAUAAUGGUGGUAAUAGGUUUGGUGGAGUAUCUGGUGGUGAUAAUGGUGGUCUUCUUGGCAGUUGAGUAGCUGGUGGUGAUGAUGGUGGUAGUAGGUUUGGUGGAGUAGCUGGUGGUGAUAAUGGUGGUCUCCUUGGUAGUUGAGUAGCUGGUGGUGAUGAUGGUGGUAGUAGGUUUGGUGGUUGAGAAGGUGGUGGUGCACGUUGGUCUGCUGGCGGUUGAGUAAGAGGUGACGGUGGAGGUGUUUGUCUUGGUGAUUGAGCUGGUGGUGAAUUGGUUAGUGGCGGUGGAGGCGAUUGAGAUAGGGGCGGUGGUGACUUAGUUGGCGGCGGCGAAAGUGGUGGUGUAGGUGAUUGAGCUGGCGGCGGCGGCGAAGGUGGUGGUGCAGGUGAUUGAGCUGGUGAUGGUGAAGGUGAUUGGGCUGGUGGUGGUGAAGGUGAUUGAGCUGGUGGUGGUGAUGACUUGGGUGACGGAGAAGGUGAUGGUGAAGGUGAUUGGGCUGGUGGUGGUGGUGACGACUUGGGUGGUGGUGAAGGUGAUUGAGCUGAUGGUGGUGAUGACUUGGGUGACGGAGAAGGCGGUGGUGAAGGUGAUUGAGCUGGUGGUGGUGGUGACUUAGGUGGCGGAGAAGGUGGUGGUGGUCGCUUAGCUGGUGGCGAUGGUGAUGGCUUUGGCUUAUUUACAGGUGGCUUUGGGUUUGGCUUAGGGAUCCCAGGCCGGGGCCUAGGGAAGAAGAACCAGUUGGUUGAGAUGAUUUCAUUGUCCUGAUGAUUGUCUAGUGACCAAUUUUCAAUGACUUCACCAAAGCUGAGCUCUGAGAAAGAGCCAACUGCUAAUGCUAAAACUUGUAUCAUGAGCACCAUGGCCUUUACUGAUGUAAAAGCCAUAGUUACUUUGUUAAUUACCUCAAACCAACUUGCGUAAAAGGAAGUAAGGUGAGCAUGAAUUUAUAGGAGCUUGAUAAGUCAUGUAUAUUACUUGAAUUUUGACUCCAUAUUAUAUUAUAAAGAAAAGAAAUGAAAAAUUGAAACACAUAUAUACUUCAUACUCCAUAAUAUUUCACUCACAUAGAUACACGUAUAGCAUUUGGACAUCUUAAUAUUUUUAACUUGUUAUUACAAGCAUACACUUCAUUUUCAGAUAACUAAUUCAACUAAUAUGAAAUAUUUACUUGAUUUAUCUUUUAUGAGAGAACAAAUAACUUACUAAUACUCUAUUUUUUUUUUUUAAACCACUCGGUGUCCGAUACCCGCUUUUUAGGAGUCUGACUAUAUCCAGAUUCGCCCCGCGUUGGGCCCCAUUUGGGGGAGAGCUCCCAACAGAGUGUUUGUCCAUACCCAGGGUCGAACCCUCGACCUCUCGGUAGGUUGGGACAGCCCCUUUCCGCUGCGCCACCACUGCUGUUGGUACUAAUACUCUAUUUUAUUACAUCGAUCGUCAAUGCAUGCUAGCUAACAAGGUAGGGGUCGUUUGGUAGAGUGUAUUGAAAUGUUAAUGCAUACAUUAGUUUAAAGUGUAUUAGUAGUACCUUAUUUGGUAUACCUUUUUACCCUAUGUAUAACUAAUGCAAACAUUAGUUAUACACUUUAUUGUGUAUUAAGGUAUGUAUUACUAAUACUUCAAAAUUCAUGACAUUAGUAAUGUAAUGGAUCUAAUGCAUGCAUUAACAUGCUUAAAGACCCUAUUACUCCUCAAAAAAAUUUUCGCAUCCUUUCCAACAUAUAUAUUGAGGGUAUUAUGUAAAAAAAAAAUUAUUUUUAGAAAUUAUGUAAUUCAUGUUUUUUUUAAUACAUCGAACUAAACACUGCAUAAGAAAAAUACAAGCAUUACUAAUACACCAUAUUUUACAUUAUUCUUAUAUACACUCUACCAAACGACCCCUAAAGUAUACACAGUACAUUUGUAAUAAGCCCUUCGCUCUGGGUGAUAUUGUUCCCUAAAAAUUAGUGGCUUAAAUCUAGUGUUUUAGUUAAUCUCCUGUAAAGUUAGUUUUAAUGGGAAGGAGUGUAAAAGUCAAAUAUUUCUUAAGCAGAUUAAGAGAGAUUUACGUUGUCAACCUUGUCAUGCAAUAUUUUUCUGUCUAGCUAUUUCAAGUGAAUGUUAUAUCAUAUAUGCAAGCAAAAUCAGUUUGAUGACAAUGCAAGAUUUUAACAUAAUCAAUUUUCAAGUUAUUUUGCACGCACUUUAAGGUGUGCAUAAUUGUUUUCUUUAGCUUCAUAUUUGCAUCUAUUAAUUCAUUGAAUUCUGGUAAUUAAUUAACUUUGUUGUGCCCUUUCUACUCUCUAACAUUCCAGGACCUGCACUUUUACAGAAUGAACUCCAUCACCAUAGUAGAAAUUUGAUCAAACAUGGGACAUGGCCAUUAAUUAUCUUUCACUGCAGAAUAAGCCAUGUGAUGAGAGUAUUUUAGUUGGCUUUAAAACGACCAAACAUUUGACAUGGCAUUGUUUUUCUUUUCUCAUUUUGCUGGUUCUUGAAGUAACACAGUAAUUAAUAACGUACGUUUAAGCAUCAUUAAAAUUAAUACGAGAGACUAAACUUCCCUAUAAAUUGUUCGUUUCAGUUCUAAUUUUCGGAUGCUAUAUGCAUUAUGCAUGACUGUGGAUGUUCGAAAUCAAAUUAAAAAGAAUACUAUAUAUGAUCAGGAGAACUAAGAAAAUCGUGACAAACAUAAUGCUCUCUCCGUUCCUAAAUAAGUGAUGUUAUCAAUUCUCUAGGACAUUCUAAUUAAGAGGGGGCAUGUGUUUGGGAAUAAUGUCAUUAAUUGGUUAAUUCUAUCUUGUUGGCCUCUGGCUCUAACACUUUGUUGAAUUUUGUUUCUUGAGGUAGCCUAAAUUCUUCUUGCAUUCUUAACAUCAUACGAAUUUAGAAUUUGCUUUGUCAUCCCAAGUUCAACAUCCUGAAGUAAAAGUGAAUAAGCAAGUUCCUUUACUUUGUUGUUUUCUUCUCGUAACAAAUGCUGUAGAACAAAGUUAUCCAGUAUCAAAAUAGAUGUUUACAUUGCAAUUUGUUUUGGAUCUAUUAUGCCAUUAGAAAAUUUCUUUCAUUCUCGUAGAAAUGUAGGGUAAAGAUGCAAAUGAAAGAUAUUGGUGGUCCAACUCUUUGCCGAAACUUUGUGCAUAACGAGAAUUUAGUACACCAAAUUGUCUUUAUUUUUCUUUAUAUGUUUUAAAAUUUUAGACUGGCUGAAACUUGAAAGACUUCUACUAUAUCUUGUUGAAGUUUUUAAUUAAUUCCAAGUUAAGAUUCUGGUACUGCUUUGGAUAUUAGGUAGCAGCGGAUUAAGUUGAAUUUGGGCAGAUCAAAAGAUCAAAAUAUGUUGAGUUAAUAAAUGACAAGUUAUUGACCUGUCCAAAGUUACUUAGAGUGAAUAGGCUAAAUGAGGGUCAAAACUCAACUGCCCAAUUCUUCUUAAAUAUUAAUUGCUUUUUUUUUUUAAAAAAAAAAGUUAUCAGUACCUAAUAAAUUAUUACUAUUAUUCUUUAUUAUGAUUAUAUAUAAAUGUCUUUUUAAAAGUAUUUAAACAAGAUUUCUCAUAAAUUAAUUUGGGCUAGAUAUCCUUCAAUUUUAGAUGGAUUUAAUGAAUAAAUGGUAGCGUCAAUAAUCAGUCCAAACUGAACGAAUGGGAAGAAUUAUAAUUUCAUGUGCUAGUUUUACCAUCAUCUAUGGAUUAUCAAUUGUUCCAAAUUGACUUAACGAUACUUUAUCUUCUCCCAGCAAGGAGGAUACUGUAAAUGUUGGAGAUUUUUUUAUUUUUUUUUUUGAUAAAUUUCUCAGUCAUCUGGGGGUGUUGUAUAUCAUACCAAAGGUUUAAUUACAACACACGAUAGAGACUAUCCGUCAAAAUAAAAAAGAAGAGCUUUCAACAAAACAACUUAUUGCUCAUUCUCCUACUGUGCAUAAAGUAAUUAGCCUAACCAACAAAAAAUUUGCCUUGUCAUCUUCAGUUCUAAUGGAUGGAACUUGUCUCUUGUCCAAGCAUAAGAGGCCUUUAGCACCAUUUUGAAGCUCCUGCUCUGGCAAAUAGAUGUUGUUAAUUUGAGAGUUCAAUGCCAUUUUGGCCAGCCAGUCUACAAGUGGAUUAGCUUCCCUAUACCAAUGCUUAUAUUUUGCCGUUGUGUGCUUGAACUAUCCAGAGGUGUUGUCAAUAAUAUAAUCUUGUUAAGUCUAAAGCUUCCUGCCUUCUUUUCUUUGAGUAUUUCGGUAACGACCAUGGAGUCUAAUUUUAUAAGAAGGUUGGUGUAUCCAUUGUUUCUACACCAAUUAACUGAUAUGGGAAUUGAGAAGGCCAUGAUCAAUUGUCCUCCCUCAUCUCUGAGCGCUCCCCCCAAACCUGCUUUGAUAGUGUCCUUGUCGAAGCUUCCAUCAGUAUUCAAUUUGAUGAAGCCCGGUAUAUGAUUGGUUAUGAUCCUUCCUAGUCAAUUUUGGAGAUGAUGCCACGUAUAUGAUUGAUUGGUUAUGAUCCUUCAAAGUUAUUCCAUGUACCAGGAGCCAUUGUUGAUAAAAUAUUUGACUAGGAGUUUUCAACUCUUCGCAGAAUCAGUAGCUCGGUGGGCCGGGCUAGAGGACUUAUACAAGUUCAAUUGUCGGAGAUAUAUGAACAUAUUGAUUUCAAGACGAAAUAAAUAAUAUCAUCAACACUUCAUCUAUGUCCUUGUACGUACAUGAGAGAUUUUGGAGAUUCAAAACCUAAAGUAAUUCGUGCAUUCAAAGCCAAUAAUCAAAGUCAAAAUUUCAAUAUUUCUUAUAGACUACAAUUUUGACUCUGUGACAUGCGAUUUUUCUGUAUUGGUACAAACUUUUGUCUCCAAUGAUAUAUAGUAAACAAAAGAAAAAAGUUUUUUCCAUAACUCAGUGCUCUUAUAUAUUCUUUAUUUUUCCUACAUUUCUGUUCGACAAGUACUUUAUUUUUACUUGUUCUAGUAAGUUACCUGCCUUUGUCUCCCAAGACUCGAAGGCUUAUAAUUAUUUAUGCAUAGUGCAUGGCAUUUUGCUUGAUGCUUCAAAAAUAAAAGUUUCAACUGUUAGAAUCAUUUAUUUUAUGUGAACUUAUAUUAAUUUUUAUUAUAUUAAAGUAAUAACGGGCUGAUGUUAUUAGUUGGUGGACAAGACACAACCCGUGUAUUCAUGCGGAUUCCAUAUGGACCUGUAUCUAUUUCAUGUUAUUGGUGUGAGCUAGCAAUAGUGUAGGUCUGUAGUAGACUGUGAGCCCAUAAUGGGUGGUGCACUAGGUUAAGGCUUUUAAUCCUAUAAAUAUAAGACUUUUAACAUAAGAUGUAUUCUCAUAAGCUGUCAGUAUUUCCAUAAGCUGUCAGCCGUCAUAAGCAAAGGAGAGAAAGACUCAGCCUAUUUCGUCUUCGAUUAUGUGUUCCAAUGACAGACAAAGGUACGCACCUUAUUUCUCGCAUAUUUCGUUACUUUAUAGGUGUUCUUGGUUUAUGUGAACCUGUGGUGUGUUUCUAUGUUAAUAUAACACUUGGUAUCAAGAGCUUUUCACAUAGAUCUUGAACCCUAUGAACGAAUACUAUGAUGUAUGUUUCGAGAACCUCAAUUUGGUUGUAAUUUAAUUUUCUUUUUCGCUGCGUUUUUUGAUGAUAAAGUGUUGAAGUAGAGGUGUUAAUUGAUGUGAUGACUAAGAGCCCGUUUGGUAGGAUUAAAAGUAUUGCUUUUUAGCUUAAGUGAUUAAAAGCUUAAAAUAAGUGCUUUUAAAUUAAGCAGAUAAGUGUUUGGAUAGAAGUGCUGUAACUGAAAAAAAUCUGUUGAUGUGUUUGGUAAACAAGUGUUGUCAAUCACUUUUUUUGUUGUCAAAAUGACUUAAAUAUCCUUAAAGCUGUUAACACAUAAUAACGUGAAUUAUUUAUGAUUUUUAAUUCUAAUACUUCAAAAAUAAUUUCUAUUUAAAUACACUUGCAACGUAAAGUGAUUAUGCCAGGUCAAUGUAUAAAUAUAAGUUACUUUUUUAUUUUAAAUAUUAAAAAAUAAAAAUUUUAAGAUAUUUUUUAUAUAAAUAUAGUAUUAUAUUGUAAUAUUGCAAGCUUGUAAACAACAAAAAAUUUUUAGCAAUUAAAAUAAACUGUUAAAAAGAAUCAAUUUUUAAAAUUUAAAUAACAUACAGAGAUUCUAUAUGAACGGAUAGAGAAGAACUUACCACAAGCUCGAUUUGACAAUAAAAUUUUUAAGUGUUUUCUUAUGUAAUGAUGGAUUCCCUGAAAAUAAAGGAGAAAGAUGAAGAGAAAACUGGAGGAAAAAGAUAAAAAAAAACGACAAAAAGAAAAAGAAAGAAAAAUCAAUAAGGGUUACAAAGUUUAGAGUAUUGUUGGAAUUAGAAGAAAAUAUAAGAGAUAAAAAGGUAAAUGUUUUCGUCAAGCCUAAAAAAUUUUUAAUCUAAAAAGUAAAAAGCUGAGGGUAUCCAGCUUCUCAAUUUUUGCUUUUUUCAAUCCACUUUUAGCUUUUUUUAAACUCUUUUUAAUUUUACCAAACACCUAAAAAAGCUAAAAAAGUGAUUAAAAUUUAGUUUGACCAGAUUUUAAUCCUAUCCAAACACCCUCUAAGUAAAUACGACGUGAUCUAUUAAAGUUGAAACUCAAUAUGGAUCGAAUUUGUAUGAAUCUUCACUGUCGCUUGCUUAAUAGACUGCAAUAUUUGAAAGACCACUGAUUUAGUAUUGAGAUGGUUACUAGAUAGAUUAUUUGGAACGUCUAUGGAUCUUUGUUUUUCUUUUCUUUUUUCUUUUUGGAUUAUAAUCUGCUCUAAUGCAACUUCUUUACAAAUUUUGUUGGUUCUUUGAAUAAUUGGCAAAGCCGUGAAAGAUGAAACAAGUCGUAGAUAGAGUACCAGAUUAGACAUACGUUGUUAAACAUAAUAAUGAUUUGUAGGCUCCACAAUGUCAUAAGAUAUCAAGCUCUUCUCAAGUUUACUGCUGAAAUUAUUUUAUGACAAUAUUAGUUUUCCAUUUGGUUUAACUGACUUGGAACAUCUCAAAAGGUGUACAUAUGAUUAUGAGUCAGGCGAUGACCAAAUCAAUUAGAUUUGGAAAAACGGAUGAAAUCAAAUCAAUUAGAUUUGGCUUUUAGAAAUUGUGGCGUGUUUUUCGAGUUCUAGGGGUUAUUGUUGUGGGUAAUGGAACAGUUGUUUCUGUUCGAUGUGGAAAUAUGAAAAUUAAUCUACGGAGUGCUGUUACUUUAAAAUAAAAUUGUCUGGAGCUGUAAUUUCAAAAAAAAUAAGAUUGUUGGUAGGAAUUUGAUAAGGUUUCGAAUUAGACUUUGGUAAUAUUAUUGCACAGUAAAGUGUUAUGCUUUCUGUAAGGUAAUGAGAGGAUUUAAUUCGGGUUCUAUAGUGUGAUUAAUAUAUGAAUCACUAUUUAUGUGGGCCAAUAGAAAACCCAGUUGAAUUUUAUUUUUUUUUGAGUUUGGAGAUGUCCUGCGAAGGUAAAGAUAUACAACUUUUCAAAAAAGAAAACUGAACCUAGAUCUUGUGUUGUUUUUUUUUUUUCAUUGGUUAUCCAACUCAUUCUAAAGUAUACAGGUUCUACUGUCUUACAAGGAGAACCAGAAUAGUUGAAACUUAAAAAGCAAAAUUUCUUGUAUGUGAGACUAUUCUAAACUUCGUGGGCAUAAAUUUAUCGAUUAAACAAACAUUUAAGGUAUUUAAUUUCGUACAUGAGAUGGAUUUUAAAAUUGUUGAAGAGCAUGCAUUGUAAGGCCCGUUUUUCCUAAACUUGAAUUGUUUUCAUGUGUACAUGCGUUGUUAGUUUGAAAAGUUAUAUGAAAGCAUGAUUUGGGUGUUACUUCUCUUGUUAUGAAAUCCAUUAUCCUAACAAUGUUAUGGAUUGUUAUUGUUUUAUGAAUGAAUGAGAGGGGUUUUUUUUCCUUAAUUUACAAAUGCUCAUUUUUCUAAUAAAGAAUGUGAAUGUGCAUGUGAUUGAUGAAAGAGAUGACCACCGUAUGAUAAAAUAUAAGUUUUCAUUUGUUUUGAAAUAAGAACUCCUCCUGUGAUGUUUAAAUAUUUUGGGUGGUCAUUAUCAUGCUUUUGAAUAAAAAGGCUAUAGAUGUGAUGUGGUAUGUAAUGAAUAAAUUUGCAGGGAUGAGGUAUGACUUUACUGGGUGUUAGAGAUUUUUCUCACUGUCAAUGUUCUGCACCAUAAUUGAUUUAUCUUGAAUCAUCUUUUUAAUUUCUCUUUUCAAAGCACGACAAUCUUCAAUAUUGUGACCUUGAACAUUAAAAUGAUAUGCACAUCGUACAUUAGGAUCAAAACUUCUUGAAUGUGGGUCAAGAGUAUACCCAAGGAGAGGAGUGAUCAUGCCCUGCUGUACCAAUCUCUAAAAUAAACUUGCAUACGACUCUCCAAUUGGUGUGAAGCUAUCCCUCGACUUCUGCCUUUUAUAAAAAGCUCCUAUUGAAAUACAUCUCUUUAAAGUUUUCGAAUUGUGAAUGAUUUUCAAAGGAAACAAAAAACAAGUUCAUAUUCGGUCCAAAUUGAAAACUCUUGAAAUAUCUCUUCCUGAUACUUACAUUGUUCACACUGCUUUUAACUCUUUGUCUGCCGAGUUUAGCCAAAUGAAAGCUGCCUAUAAUACUUAAGAUGAAUUUUGAUCAAUCAAUGUUCUUAUCUCUAAAUGUGUUGUUGAAGAGGAAAAAAUUUAAAAAAGAGAAGGGUAAGGUUGCCAUGUUAGCUUCUCAUGAUUCCAAAGCAAGCUCUAGCAAAGACCUAGGAAAAUUGAAAGAUCUAAUAAUCAUUGAACAUAUACCCAUCGAUUUGAUACUUUCCGAUCCACUAACUAGGGACUAAGACCCAUAGUUUUUAUGCAACAUGUUCAGAAUAUGGGUGGUGUUGAGUCAUUUGAUUUGCUGGGUUAGUGAGAGUAUUUAAUAUUAUUAUUCAUUUGUCAUUAGACUAUUCACCUUGUUGUUUCAGACUUAUGGUGAUAUUAUCUCUUGAAUUAACAUUUACGUUAUGGUAGAUUUUGGUAUCAUUUAUGUUGAUGAUAUUUUACUUGCUAAUAAUAAUUUGAGACUGUUGCAUGAAACUAAACAUUCAUUGAACAAAAUGUUUGAUAUGAAAGAUCUAAGAGAGACAUCAUUUGUUCUGGGCAUUGAGAUUCAACUAGAUAGAUCUCGUAAGUUAUUGGAGCUUUCACAAAAGGCCUAUAUUGAUCGUAUUUUUAAAAAAGAUUUCAAAUGGAAAAUUUUAAGCCCGAUAAUGUCCCUGUGGUUAAAGGUUAUAAGUUAAGCCUAGAUUUGUAAGAUUCUAUCAAAGAUGUGUCUUAUUCAAGUGUUUUUCCGCUACAUUUCUUGUUUAUAGAGUGUUAAUUUUAUUUAUUUUUUAUAUUGGUUGAAGUACAGUCGGCAAACUAAAGACUUCAUUAGAAUACGUUCUGGCAGCUAUGUUAUUAAAGAUUCAUUCAUUUAUUUAGUUCUAUAUGCUUAGAUUAAAUAAUAUAAAAAGUUAUUUAUUUUAUAAAAAAAUAAAAAAAAUAAAAUUUAAGCUAUUGUUUAUAAAAGAUGUCGAAUUGUUAUUUAUUUAUUUAUUUAUUCUAUUUGAAUUUGGUUUCAUUUGAAUUGCAACUAAAUUAAAUUUAUAAUAUUUUUAAUUGUGUGGUUACUUACUGUGUCACAUGAGUAAAUUAAGCAAUGCAUGUUGAAUCCCUGAGAUUGAAUUUGUUUUGUAAAAUUAGGGUAAAUAGUGUACACCAAAGUGAUCUAUUUGUUUUGCUUUACGAGACCUGUUUAAUCCAUUUCGAGGGAUAUCACUAAGUUAGAAUGUACAAUGAUCUGCCCAAAGAAGAUUUAUUGUGUGUUUUAAAUUAGUAUUGUGAUGCGCCCCAUUAUGUGAAAAUAUUUUGAUUUUAGUAAAUUUAUAAUCUGCCCAAAGAGGAUAGUUUCUAAUAUUGAAAAUAUUUUCUUGCCCUGCUCAAAGGGGGGCUACUUGCUGAUGCUGUGGGACUCAUCGUUGUGAUAAGAUUAUUAUUUUUAUGCCUUGAUAUUUUGAUAAAUUCAUUCAUGUUAUGUUGUGAAAAGUUACUAUUUAUUUGAACAAUAACAAUGCUGAGGUUAUGAUUCUAUCGAGCUCUAACUUUAUGUGAUUUAAAAAAGAUAUUGAAUUUGCUUUGGGCAUGACUGACAUAGAUCAAUCCUUGCAUGAGGAUGAGCCUCCAGCUCUUACUGAUUCUAGUAUAGCUGCUGAAAAAGAAUUUUAUGCUAAGUGGGAGAGAUCUAAGAGGUUAUUCAUCCUUGCCUUUAAAAGGUUGAUUGCUGAGCAGCUCAAAAGUGGCUUGCCUGAAACUAUCGAUGCCAAAAGAUUUCUUGCCCAAGUGGAAGAAAAGUAUUUUGUAUCCAUUAAGUCUGACACUGGAGAUCUAAUGAAUAAAUUUAAUUUGGUUAUGGUUUUGAUUCUCUUAAUGAAAAAUUGAAUUUGCUUUUGAACUUUCGAGUUGUUGGUCAUGGAAUCUGAUGGUUUGUUUAAAAUUUUCUUGGCUUCUGAUUUUGAAUACAACUCUUUUAGUUCUGAAAUUGUUGGGUCUAAAUGAUAAUUUUAAACGAAAAAUCGGGUUUGUGGUGAUACAGGCGUUUAGGUCAUAUCUCUAAGGGUAGAGUUGAUAAAUUGGUUAGUCUAAUAUUUUACCUUCUUUUGAUUUUAGGGACGGAGGAACAUGUAUUGAUUGCAUUAUAGGAAAGUUGAUCAAAAAAAAAUAUUACUCGUAGUUCUGAUUUAUUGAAAAUCAUUCACACAGACAUAAGUGGUCUGUAUUUUACUACAAUAUGUGGUUCAAGUUAUUUUAUCAUCUUCAUUGAUGACUUUCUUCGAUAUGGUUAUAUAUUUCUUAUUAAAGAAAAAUCAGAUUCUCUUGAAAAGUUCAAAGUGUUUAAAACUGAAGUAGAGAAACAACUAGGAAAGGUUAUUAAAAAACGUGAGGUUUGAUCGAAGGGGUGAGUACUAUGGUAGAUACACAGAGAAUAGGCAACAAAUGGGACUCUUUGAUCUUGAGCUACAUCAGAUUGAUGUAAAGACAGUCUUUUGAAUGGUGAUCCUAAUGAAGAGGUUUACAUGCAACAACCUCAAAUUUUUUUUUGGGUAAAAGGAAUGAGCAUCUUGUGUGUAAGUUGAAGAAAUAUAUCUAUAGCUUGAAGCAAACUUUUGGACAGUGGUACUAGAAGUUCGCAAAAAUUAUCACUUUAUGAAAUUUGUGGAGAACAAGAUUGAUCAUCGCAUCUAUCUUAAGAUCAGUGGGAGUAAGUUCAUCUCAAUCUUUUAUUGAUUAUUAUUGUGCACACUUUAAUAUUGUUUUAUUAUAUUAAGGCUUUUGCCUUACGUGUUGGCUAUGUCUCAUAUUGAUAAGAUCUUAUUGUUGUUUUAUUGGAUCUUUCUUUUGGAAACAUAUAUGGUAUAUCAUUCUACCUUGUGGAUUUUCUAAUUGUUGCACCAAGUAAUAUGUUGCAAAUGUUGAACGUUGAAAAUCAAGAUUUUUUGGUGAAGCACAUGUUGUUUUAGUGCUCACACAUGUUGUAACAGAAAAUUGCGGUGACGAUUUUUCUAUGGUACACAUGUUGAUUUUAAGCGUACAUGUUGAUAUAAAAAAUUGUUUGAAGGACUAACAAUGAAAUAACCUCGAUUUAGAGUCCAUAUUGACUAUUUCUUGCUACACUACCACAUCAUUUGAUUUAUGUCUUCAAAACUUCAAUGUUAGUAAUUGUGGACUGAUCUUGUAUCGUUGGUUAAUGCAAGUAUUGCUGCAGUUCAACAGUGUUGUUUUGCUUGACUGAACUAUGUUGGAGAUGGCAUUCCACCACUAAAUAUUUAUGGCCACUGUCUAUUCAGUCCGAGAGUCAUUUUCAUAAAAAUAAAUUUUCCAAAACUUUUCUUUAAAAGUUAACAUUGUCCAAGUGGGAGAAUGUUAGAAUUAUUUAUUUUAUGUGGAUUUAACAUUAACUUUUAUUACAUUAAAGUAAUAACGGACUGAUGUUAUUAGUUGGUGGACAAGACACAGGCCGUGUAUUCAUGCGGAUUCCAUAUGAGCCUGUAUCCAUUUCAUGUUAUUGGUGUGGGCUAACAAUAGUGUAGGCCUGUAGUAGACCUGUGAGCCCAUAAUGGGGGUGCACUAGGUUAAGACUUUUAAGCCUAUAAAUAUAAGGCUAGGUCCCUCUCCUGACUUUAACAUAAGACGUAUUCCUAUAAACUGUCUGUCGUCAUAAGCAAAGGAGAGGAAGACUCAGCCUAGUUCGUCUUCGAUUACGUGUUUCAAUGGCGAACAAAGGUACACACCUUAUUUUUCGCAUAUUUCGUUACUUUAUAGGUGUUCUUGAUUUAUGUGAAUCUUUGUGGUGUGUUUCUAUGUUAAUAUAACAUAAUCAAUAUAUAUUUUACUUAAUUUAAUUACACAACCAUAAUAAAGAACGUUACUUUUAUUUAACCAUAAUAUAUACUUGGGUUUUGUUAUUCCAUUCAUGAAUUUAAUGUUUUGUCAUCUCUACUACAUAGACAAUAUAUAAGACAGUUUUCUUGAUCUAACUAAACUGGGCUCAUGGCAGCUGGUCCCAAAUAUAAUAUGGAGAAAGCUUCUUUCUUACUUUUCUUGAGAAGUCGGUCAAGUUGGUAAAUAUCUUCUGGACCUCCCUUUAGGAAUGGCAUACUGCUCAAAAAAGUUAAACAAAAUUCCAUCUUCUUUAAGGCAUGAUCAAUCUGAUUAAUAACUUGUUUAAUUUGGCCUUCAUGAUAUUUUUUAAUUGCCAAUUCAAUAUCCUGGAUAACUACAUACAUGUCACACUCUGUAUAAUCUUCUGCAGUAACAGGCUUAUGAGCUACUUCCUUUGCAGAUCGAAGAGUUUUUCCAAGAUCAUCGUCACCCAAACAUAUUUCAGGAAUAAAUACUAUUAGGAAAAUGCAUGUAAUGGAAUUUGUACUGGUACGUCCCAUUAUUAUAUUUUUGUUACUUUCUCCUCCUUUGAUUUGAUAUAUCAAAGAGUUUUCUUUUACUUUCUUUUAUACUCCAUCAUUUUUAUAUCAUAAUUAAUUGCAUGCAUGCAUGCAUUGAUUAGGAUGUUCUAUUUAAAUCUAAUUUUUAGAUCUUGAAUAAAUGCGACAUUUAAUAAGACAAAUUCAUCUGAACUUUAGCUUAUAGAUAUAGUAACAACUUUUUACGUUAUAAAAUGUGCCUCCUAAUUGAAGUAUUAGGUGGGAAAGUUUAGUUUUGAUUACUAAUGAAAUAAUUAAAAGCAACAUUGUUUUUUUACCAAUAUUGGACACAUUUGCUCGUGACCUAUAUUUCGUUGCUGUAAGGACCUUACUAUUUUUCAUAUGUUGAAACAGUAAUAUAUUUUCAAGGCUUAAUACAUAACACUUUAAAUUCAUCGGAAUCCUCCAUUGGCAUAAUGCAUAUACAUGCUCUUUAACUUGGUCACAAUUCUCAUUUAUAUCCUCUAAUUUUAGGUGUACAAAAUAAAAACUUAAACCUGUAUAAAGAUGAAUAAGUAGAUACGCAUAUCUUACAUGGCAUAAUACAUGUAGAUUGUAGAACAAUACAUAAAGUGGGAGUUUCUUCGAGUCAUGACAAUCAACAAAUUCUAUAUCUAUAUGAUCCCCUUUUCAAUGCUAGUAAUCGAUUCAAAAAGAUGAUGGGUUCAUACGUUUUUUAAUGGGCCUGUCGUGGGUCGGCCCGUACAGUACUAACCCUUAAGACCCUAGCACAGGUCCAAUUAUCUUGCUAAUUGAUUCAAAAUUUCUAUUUUGUUUUAGUUUAAGAGAAAUUUUGUUUGAGUUAAAGUGACUGGCUGAAACUUCAUGGAGUACGACGGUUCAAUUGAUAAAACAUAGCAAUCAUAUAAAACAUAUAAAUAAGCAAAUGUCGAUGUCAAUAAAGUUAGUAUAUCUUAUUGUACAAGCAUUUCCAAGACGCAGUAAAUCAAUGAGCUAUUUGUGGGGCUUGUCCCAAGACCUUAUUACUUGAGAAAGCUAAUAUUUGUUUCUUAAUAUUGUUGAUAAGUAUACAAGAUUGGCAAUAUCUUCCAUUAUAUCUUUGCGAAUAUAAAACUCAGCCUCAGUUGUUUCUUGACAAAUUGUAAUGUGACUUAAGGCUCCCUCAAUUUGUCUGAUAGCAUUAGAGUCGUCAAAAUGGGGUUUGGCCCUUGACUUAUGGAUUAAAUAUAAUUUUCUUUGCGUGCAUACAUCUAUCAUCCGGCCUCAAAAUAGCCAAAGAAGUACUCUUUUCGAAGUAACAACAUUAAAUUUGGUCUCUUAUAAUCAAUCUAAUUAGGACAAAAAAUACCAACCAAACGGAAGUGUGAUUGCAUUCUUCUUAAAGACGAGAAAUUGAUCUAGAUUCUUUAAAAGUUUAGCCAUAUAUCGGUGGCUCAAAUAACACUCAUAACUAUACGAAGAAGAGUUAGUGAAAAUUUACUGUGAUAUUAAUAUUUCAAAUGAAGUUAUUGUAAAACAUUUCAAAAGAAGAAACGUCGUCAAGUAUGGUGCGGUUGAGAUAAUGCAUGUAAUGUAAUUACGCUCUGCUUUCAUUUGCAAAAGCUAUUUUGUUAACUUCUCUGUUUGUUUAUUCAUGUAUAUUUCGACCACACUUGAUAAUGAAAAUUCUGGCUUAAAUUCGCUCCUGAUGCACAAGGCCACUGACGGUUGCAGUCUUGGAGGCGGGAAGAGAUGGAGGUUCAAACGGCUUAAUUGGUAUACGUGGAAUAAGGGGUUGUUUCGCUACUGGUGAUGGAAAUGGUGCUAAUAGUAUUACAGGUGGCUGAGCAACUGGUGAUGGAGAUGGUGCCAUUUCUGGUGGAUUAGCAAUUAAUGGUGCAGGAGCUGGUGGAGGCGUUUUCUUAGAAAGUGGUGGUGGUGGUGGUGGAGAUGGUUCCUUAACUGGUGGUGGAGGUGGUGGUUGCUUUGCUGGUGAAGGUAGCUUUGCAGACUGACCAGGUGGUGAUGGCUUACAUUGUGAAGGUGGAGGAGGUGACUUAUUAACUGGUGGUGAUGGUGACGAAGGCGUUGGGUUAUUACCAGAACCAAUUGAGAUGCCAGGAAUACCAGGAAUUGUAGAACCCGAACCACCAGGGCCGCUGAGAAAAUGAGGAAUUAAAGGUGAUGAGUCUGUUGACGGCGGAGGUGGUGUUUUUGGUGUUGACGAUGGAGCUGGCGGUGAUGGUGAUGGCGAAGGUGGUGGCUGAGGUGGUGAUGAUGUUGAUGGUGAAGGUGGCGUAGGUGAUGGCGAAGGUGAUGGUGCUGCUAAUGGCCGAGGUGGUGGUGAUGGUGAUGGUGACGGUGAAGGUGGCGGAGAUAAUGGUAAUGGUGAAGGAGGCGGAGAUGAUGUUGAUGAUGACGGCAAAGGUGCUGGUGCUGGUGAAGGCCGAGAUGAUGGUGAUGGUGACGGAGAUAAUGGUGAUGGUGAAGGAGGCGGAGAUGAUGUUGAUGAUGACGGCGAAGAUGCUGGUGCUGGUGAAGGCCGAGAUGAUGGUGAUGGUGACAGAGAUAAAGGUGAUGGUGAAGGAGGCGGAGAUGAUGUUGAUGUUGGGUCCUAUAUGUGUGUUGAAUGGAAAAUGGAGAAAUCAAGUGGAAGAGAAAAUUGAGUUUACACCAAAAUGAAAAGUGUACUCAAAAUUGGCAAGUUUACUCUUUCUCCCACAUUGGUGGAAGAAGAGAACUUGAGAGUGUUUAUAAUGAGAAACACUUACUCCAUAUGGCAAGUGAGGUAAGAAAUAAAUGAUGCCUUGCAUCGUCGUUGCUCGCUCGAUUUCGGAUUCCUAUGUGUUUUUGGACAAACUUUAUUUGAAUUCCGAAGAAUGCCAAGAAAAAAUGCAGUAAAUUUUUACAGCAGAUUUUUGGAACUCCAUUUAUAUAUAUGAAGCGUACAGUAACAGUGAAACAGUAACAGAUGCAAUGGUUUGAAUGAACUGGUGCCUUUUCGAACUGAUGUUGCUACAGAAGGUUGCACUGCUUCAUGAACUGAUGCCCUAUUUUCGAACAGAUGCUAUAGAAAGUUACAAUUGUUCAACGAAAAUACACACUGAUUCACGAAGUGACAUUCCUGUUCGGAACAGAUGCACUGUUUAGGAUAAACAGACAUGCAUUUUCAGGAAAAGUCAUACCUAUAGAUUGAACCAUUGCCACCUUUUCAAAGGGGCAUGGUAUGACUAUAAAUAACCUGCUUUAUUCCACAGGUUUUAUAUGAAAUUUUCAGAUUACAAAAUCAUUCUUCUUGUCUUCAAAAUACUCUUUGUGAUUAUACAAACAGUUGAUUGCGUUCGUAGAAUCUAACUAUUUGAGGUACCGCUAUAGUUGGAUUGUUGGCCAUUUUAUCUUGGGAGGAAAAAUUCCACAACCUCAAGUAUAGUGAGGGGAAUUAUUUCCUAAAGGAAAGUCCGUGAAUUCGGACGACUUGGCCUUAAUCAUUUCUGUUUCAUCUUUAUUUUCUGAAAAAUAAAUAUACCUCUUGAAAAGGUCAUUUUGAUCUUAUGUUGAGUGUAUUUAAUACUUCAUUGUGUUCUUGUUCAUACUUGAACUCGAGUUAAAGUUGUUGUUGCAAUAUACAGCUUCUGCAUACCCAAAUAUAUUGUGGAAAUAACAAUCUUAAGGAAAUAACCUUUACAAAAUCUGUAUUGCUUGUUUUUGGAGAUUAAAGCUUAGGCUUUCUACUCCUCUUGAAUUUAACUAGUGAUUAGAAGACAUAAAAUCUUCAUCACAAGUUAAGGUUCAUUCGGUUGACGAUUCGAAGUAAUAAAAAUUUUAGCGUUAACUAGAAACAAGAAGAAGAGUUUCAAGUUAUUUAACUUUAUAAAUAGUAUUCUGAAAAAUACUAAGUUUUCUGCCUUGUGGUGACAGGAAAAAAUGACAACUGAAAGUCAAAUGAUGGAUGCGACAACGUCUAUAGGGGCAAAUAAUAUUGCCAUAUCAAGUUGCACAAAUGCUCCGCUAACGAUGGCACCGGCGGAGAAGCCCGGAAAAUUUUCGGGCAUUGACUUCAAGCGGUGGAAACAAAAGAUGUUCUUUUACCUCACCACUUUAUGUCUACAACGGUUCACUAGCGAAGACGCUCUUGAGGUGUCCGAGGAAACCUCAGACAAAGACCGCUUCGUUAUUGUAGAAGCUUGGAAACAUUCGAAUUUUCUUUGCAGGAACUAUAUUCUGAGUGGUCUCCAAGACGACCUUUAUAAUGUCUAUAAUGGAACCAAGACAUCAAAAGAACUGUGGGGGGCACUUGAAUGGAAAUAUAAAACAGAGGAUGCGGGAAUUAAGAAAUUCCUCGUUGCACAGUUCCUAGACUUCAAAAUGAUUGAUAGCAAAUCUGUUGUCUCUCAAGUACAGGAGUUGCAAGUCAUCAUACAUGAUAUCCUAGCAGAAGGUAUAUUUUUGAAAAAUACCGUAGUUAAAAAAAUUAAAAAUGUUCUUAGUACUCACAUAAACAGUUUUGUAGGUUUAAUUGUGAAUGAUGCUUUUCAAGUUGCAGUGAUAGUUGAUAAGCUACCACCUUUGUGGAAAGACUUCAAAAAACUACUUGAAGCAUAAACGCAAGGAGGUGACUGUUAAAGAUCUUAUUGUCCGACUUCGUAUUAAAGAGGACAAUAAAUCUGCCGAAAGAAGUUCAAAGGGAAAUUCUACAAUGAAUGAAGCACAUAUUGUAGAAGAUGGCCAAAAAAACACGAAGAAAAGAAAGAAAGUUGAACAUGGAAGCAAUCAACCCAAGAAAAAGUUCAAGGAAAAAUGCUUCAAUUGUGGCAAAAUUGGCCACAAGUCCACAGAUUGUCGAGCCCCAAAGAAAGGCAAGAAAAAGGACCAAGCGAAUAUGAUUGAAUCCAACAAAGAAAGCGAUGAUCUGUGUGCUAUGUUCUCAGAAUGCAACUUGACGGGGAAUCCUUGCGAAUGGUGGAUGGAUUCUGGUGCCACCUGCCAUGUUUGUGCCAACAGAGAGUUGUUUUCGUCAUUUGCUCCGGCUCAAGUAGAGGAAAUGAUCUACGUGGCUAACUCCGCUACUGCUAAGGUGGAAGGAACAGGGAAAAUAUGCUUGAAAAUGACUUCGGGCAAGGUCUUGACACUUAACAAUGUCUUGUAUGUUCCCGAAUUACGUAGGAAAUUAAUCUCCAUUUCACUUCUAGAUAAGAACGGAUUUAAAUGUGUAACCGUUUCUGAAAAAAUUGUAAUUAGCAAAAGAGAAAUAUAUGUAGGAAAAGGCUAUCUCACCGAGGGCCUUUAUAAGAUGAAUGUAAUGACUGUUGACAUAAAUAAAAGUUCAAAUUCUUCUUAUUUUCUUGAGUCUUAUGAUUUAUGGCAUGAACGUUUAGGCCAUGUUAAUUACAAAACUUUACGAAAACUGAUUAACUUAGAAGUUUUGCCAAACUUUGAGUGCAAUAAAUCUAAGUGUCAAACGUGUGUGGAAUCAAAGUAUGCAAAACAUCCUUAUAAGUCCGUUAAAGGAAUUCCAAUCCCUUAGACUUAAUACACACUGAUAUUUGUGAUAUGAAGUCAACACCAUCUCGUGGUGGGAAAAAGUAUUUCAUAACUUUUAAUGACGAUUGCACUAGAUAUUGUUAUGUCUAUUUGCUAAAUUGUAAGGAUGAAGCAAUAGAUGCAUUUAGGCAAUAUAAAACUGAAGUUGAAAAUUAGUUAGACAAAAAGAUCAAAAUUAUAAGAAGUGAUAGGGGCGAAGAAUAUAAAUCUCCCUUUGCGGAAAUAUGUGUAGAGAAUGGAAUAAUCCAUCAAACUACGGCCCCAUAUUCACCUCAAUCUGAUGGAAUUGCGGAAAAAAAAAAUCAAACUUUGAAGAAAAUGAUGAAUGCCUUACUUAUAAGUUCUGAUUUACCACAAAACUUAUGGGGGGAGGCUAUCCUUAUGGCUAAUCGUAUACUCAACAGAGUUUCCCAUAGUAAGACACAAUCAAUUCCUUACGAAAAAAGGAAAGGAAGAAAACCUAACUUGAAAUAUUUAAAAGUGUGGGGUGUCUAGCGAAGGUUCAAGUUCCUAUACCUAAAAGGGUUAAGAUAGACCUAAAAUGGUGGACUGCGUGUUCAUAGGAUAUGCUAAAAGUAGUAAAGUAUGUCGAUUUUUGGUUCAUAAAUCCGAACAUCCUAAUAUUAGUGAAAAUACGGUAAUUGAAUCAGACAAUGUUGAAUUCUUUGAAAAUAUUUACCCGUAUAAAAUUAGACAUGAACAGUCUAGUGGAGGAUCUAAACGACCCCGAGAUGAACCAAGUGAGAAUGUACAUAAUGAAGAAAAUCCAAGACACAGUACACGUCAAAGAACGUCAACUUCGUUUGGAUCGGAUUUUGUAACAUUUCUCUUAGAAAAUGAGCCUCAAACAUUUAAAGAAGCGAUGUCUUCGUCAGACUCAUCCUUUUAGAAAGAGGCACUCAAUAGUGAGAUAGAUUCAAUCUUAAAUAACCAUACAUGGAGUUGGUUGACCUUCCUCUCGAAAAUAAACCUUUAGGUUCUAAAUGGAUCUUCAAAAGAAAAAUGAAAGUGGAUGGUACUAUUGACAAAUACAACGCAAGGCUUGUAGCAAAAGGCUUCAAAAAGAAGGAAGUCCUUGAUUACUUUGAUACAUACUCGCCAUUAACAAGGAUAACCUCGAUUCGAAUGUUAAUUACCUUGGCGGCGGUAUAUGAUCUUAAAAUCCAUCAAAUGGAUGUGAAAACCGCAUUCCUAAAUGGAGAUUUGGAGGAAGAAAUUUACAUGAAACAACCUGAGGAUUUUGUGGUUUCAGGAAAGGAAAACAAGGUGUGUAAACUUAUCAAGUCAUUAUAUGGACUAAAGCAAGCACCAAAUCAAUGGCAUGCAAAGUUUGACCAAACCAUGUUGGCAAACGGAUUCAAAAUAAAUGAAUGUGAUAAAUGUGUUUAUAUUAAAGACACUCCAAAUCACCAAGUCAUUGUAUAUUUAUAUGUGGAUGAUAUGUUGAUCAUCAGUAGAGAUAUUUCUGGCAUAAAUGCAACAAAACGAAUGCUCGAGAGCAAGUUUGAUAUGAAGGACCUUGGAGUUGCAGAUGUGAUCUUAGGUAUAAGAAUCCAUCAAACUCCACGAGGGUUGGCAUUAUCACAGUCUCAUUAUAUCAAAAAGGUACUUGACAAGUUUAAGUAUAUGGAGUUCGGUAUUGCCAAGACUCCAUUGGAUGCGAUAUUUGCACUUCGAAAGAAUGAAGGUGAAAGUGACUCGCAUGCGCUAUCAGUAAAUUGAGUCGGUACACGAGUAAUCCCAACAAAACUCACUGGAUGGCAAUGAAAAGAGUUUUGGGGUAUCUUAAAUACGCUCAAAAUUAUGUUUUGCAUUAUAAUAAAUAUCCUACGGUACUUGAAGAUUAUAGUGAUGCAAAUUGGAUCAUCGGAUCGAACGAAGUAAAAUCCACAAGUGGAUAUGUAUUUACUAUCGGUGGAGGAGCAGUCUCUUGGAAAUCAUCCAAACAGACGUGUAUUGCUUACUCUACAAUGGAAUCUGAAUUUACUGCAUUAGAUAAAGCCGAUGAAGAAGCAGAAUGGCUCUGAAAUUUCUUGGAAGAUAUUUCGUAUUGGCCCAAGCCAGUGGCACCAGUAUGUAUACACUGUGAUAGCCAAGCAGCAAUAGGUAGGGAGGGAGCAUGAUGUAUGACGGUAAAUCUCGUCAUAUAAGACAAAGACAUAAUACCGUUAGAGAACUUCUCUUUAAUGGAAUUAUCGAUGUAGACUAUGUAAAGUCAAAGGAUAAUGUGUCGGAUCCAAUUACAAAAGGCUUAUCUAGAGAAGGAGUAGAAAGGACAUCCAAGGAAAUGGGUUUAAGGCCUAGGACAAGUCAGCAUGGCGGUAACUCUACCUAGCAGACUGGAGAUCACAAGAGCUAGGUUUAAGGAGAUCAAACAAAGUUGUGUCUGACAGGUUCAACAUUGUCAAAUACCCAACCCAUUUUCAUGAUGUAGAUAAUGUAUAGUAAACAAGGAUAAGACUUAAGGUGAAAAGUCUGUUAAUGAUUAUCUAAAUUUGGCAGAUGUUACCAAAUAGUUUAAUCUACAGAAUUGAACGUUUAGAGAUCACCUAUGCGAGGGCGAAGUGGAAGUCGCUUCAAAGAGAAUCUUAGUAAAAGCCUAUUGUCUAAGCUCUCAUGAAAACCGGGACGUGUUCAUGGCUGAAAAGAACAAAACCGUAAGAACCAUAAACGGUAAAAGGUUGGUUGUGUGACAUGUGUUGUUUAGGUGUAUAUUAAAGCUCGACGGUUCAAAGAUAUCAAAUCUACCGAUUGACCGAGUGCAUCCGAUGCAUGUUCACUACAGAAAGUUCAAAGGGAAACCACUUAUCCAGAUGCAAUCAGUCUUUGCUUGAUGAUCACAUACUUGUCCGUAAAACUUAUACGAAAAAUAACCAUUCCCCAUUCAUGUGGGGGAUUGUUGGGUUCUAUAUGUGUGUUGAAUGGAAAAUGGAGAAAUCAAGUGGAAGAGAAAAAUUGAGUUUACACCAAAAUGGAAAGUGUACUCAAAAUUGGCAAGUUUACUCUUUCUCCCACAUUGGUGGAAGAAUAGAACUUGAGAAUGUUUAUAAUGAGAAACACUUACUCUACAUGGCAAGUGAGGCAAGAAAUAAAUUAUGCCUCGCACCGUCGUCGUCUUCGCUCGCUCAGCUCGACUUCAAAUUUAGAUUUGGAUUUGGAUUUGGCAAAUGAUCGAUCGAUGGGAUCUAUCUUUAUUUGGACAAACUUUAUUUGAAUUCCGAAGAAUGCCAAGGAAAACCGUCGUAAAUUUUUACUGUAGAUUUUUGGAACACCAUUUAUAUAUAUGCAACGUGCAGUAACAGUGGAACAGUAACAGAUGCAAUGGUUUGAACGAACUGGUGCCUUUUCGAACUGAUGUUGCUGCAUAAGGUUGCACUGCUUCAUGAACUGAUGCACUAUUUUCGAACAGAUGCUACAGAAAUUUGCAAUUGUUCAAUGAAAAUACACACUAAUUCACGAAGUGACCUUCUUGUUCUGAACAGAUGCACUGUUUAGGAUAAACAGACAUGCAUUUUCAGGAAAAGUCACACCUAUAGAUUGAACCAUUGCCACCUUCAAAAGGGCAUGGUAUGGCUAUAAAUAACCUGCUUUUGAACCAUUGCCACCUUCAAAGGGGCAUGGUAUGGCUAUAAAUAACCUGCUUUAUUCCACAGGUUUUAUAUGAAAUUUUCAGAUUACAAAAUCAUUCUUCUUGUCUUCAAAAUACUUUUUGUGAUCAUACAAAUCGUUGACAGUGUUCAUAGAAUCUAACUAUUUGAGGUACCUCUAUAGUUGGAUUAUUGUCCAUUUUAUCUUGGGAGGAAAAAUUCCACAACCUCGGGUACAAGAGGGGAAUUAUUUCCUUAAGGAAAGUCCGUGAAUUCGGACGACUUGGCCUUAAUCAUUUUUGUUUCAUCUUUAUUUUCUGAAAAAUAAAUAUACCUCUUGGAAAGGUCAUUUUGAUCUUGUGUUGAGGGUAUUUAAUACUUCAUUGUGUUCUUGUUUAUACUUGAACUCGAAUUGAAGUUGUUGUUGCAAUAUACAAAUUCUGCAUACCUAAAUAUAUUGUGGAAAUAACAGUUGAUGAUGACGGAGAAGGUGAUGGUGAAAGUGGAGGUGGCGGAGAAAAUGAUGAUGGUAACGACGGAGGUGGUGAUGGUGACGGUAGAAGUGGUGAUCGAUAGCGGCGGCAGCGUGGCCAGUUGCGGCUAUAGCGGCAACUAGGAAAAUAGCGGAUGGGGGAGGUGGAAGGUGAUGAAAGAAAACUAAGUUGCGGUAUGGCUCAUUUAUGUAAACCAUAUUAGUUGAGAGGAUUGGAUCAGUGUCUUUUCCAUGACUGAGCUCUAACAAUGUGUCAACUAGUACAAGUAAAAGUAACUAUAUUAGUAGGUCCUUCCCUGAAAUAACCAUAAUUACGUUGGAUUAAGGAUGUCAAAUUGUCGAUGUAUUUAUAGAAAGUUAGGACUAUAGGACAGAGCAAAGUUUAUUUGAAACCACACAUUAAAAACUUGUACAAGCUCCCCUUGGUGAUACUAUAUAACUAUAAGCGAAGAACGACACAUAUUUUUAUUACGUCCAAAAAAAAGUGACAUAUAAUUAUUUUAGGCAAAAUGCUCUAUUGGACCCCUCUACUAUGUCAGUUUUAUAAGUUGGACACUCCUACUUACAUAUUUAUCAUCUGGACCCCUGAACCUACGAAAAAACUACAUUUUAAGCACUUUUUUGAAAAGUGUAACACACUCUCCCAUGUUAGCUGCCACAUCAGCUGCCACGUGUGUCAGUCAUCUGUCACGCGUGUCACGUCAUCUACCACGUCAUUUUAAAAAUAAAAUAAAAAAAAUAGAAAAAGUAUUACAUUAAAUUUCAAGUCAUUUUUAAAAUGCUACAUAACAAAUUAAAUAUUAAAAUUAAUUUAAUUAAAUAAGAAAAAUUUGAAUAAUCAUGCUUUUAAAAUUUAAAAAUAUUUGAAUAAUCAUUUUUAAAAUAAAAAAAGUAUUACACUAAAAUUAAUUAAAUAUUAAAAUUAAUUUAAUUAAUUAAUUUAAAUUAUUAAAAAAUUAAUUAAUUAAAUUCUUAACAAAAUAAUUUAUUUAAAUUAAUUAAAUUUUAAAUUAAUUAAUUUAUCAAUUUAAAAUUCUUACCUAAUUUAAAUAAAUUUUACUUAAAUAAUUAAUUAAUUUAAAUAUGAUUUACAUAUUUAAAAUAUUUAAUUUAAAUUAACUGUAGGAGGGAGGGGCUGGGUGGGUCCGGGGGAGGGGCUGGGGGAAUUUAAUAAAUUUUAAUAUUAUUUUUAUUUUUUAAAAAUUAUUUUAAUGUAAAAUUGGCCAAAAAUUAACCCCCACUCGCACCCCUAGGCGAGUGGUUACACUCUGUCACAUCUCUUUUCAGACCGAAGGGAUCGAGUCGAAUGGAUUUUUCCAAAUGAAAUGACGGUUUUGAAUAGGGAUUAGUUUAUUUACAGAGUCGCCACUUGGAAUUGAGUUAUGUUGUUCCAAGUCACCUUUUUGAAUCCCUAAUCAAAAGGAAAUGACUUUUAUUUGGUCUGCGAAAACAGAAGCCUGGAUAAGGAAUUCUGUUGACCAAGAGGAAGGUGUGAGGUACCCCUCGAGUCCCGUGGUUCUAGAACGGUCGCUUUUAUUGACUUAUCUUGACUUAAAUUAUUUUAAUAAAUUAUGUUAAGGCCUAAAAUCACUCAUUUUUAAUUAUAUCGAAAAUGACUGUCUACACCUCUUAUGUUAAAUAAAUUGGUGAAAAAUAAUUUUAAAAAAAUAUUUAUCAAGAUGCAUUUUUUCAUCCUUGAAUUUUUAAAAUAUCUCAAAAAGAUGUGUGCGCCGCAUUCUUAAUCGAGAUAAAAUUUAAAAUAUAUUAAAACGAGACUAAAAAUUGUCUAAUAUUAAAAACACUGGUUGACUCAUUAUAAAUUCGUAAUAAUAACAAUUUUUUUAUUAUUUUAUUUCACCUAAUUUCUUAUAUUUAAUUAGUAUAACAAAAAUACAAUAAAAGAUUCUAUAUAACAAGAUUUAAAUCAUGAACGAAAAGACAAAUAUAUGUUACAUGAGAUAAUUCAAGUAAAAAUGUAUAUACGGGUUCUUAACUAAAAUUAAACAUUACCUUUUUUGAUCUUAAAUAAAUACAUUUUUUGAUUUUUUUAUUAGAAAAAAAUAAAAUAAAAAAAUAAAAGGACCAAAGAGACAAUUUUUAAAACAAUGACUAAAGAAAAUCUCUCUCGUCAAAUCUGUGUAAAAAAUAAAUUAAAAAUCUGUUUGUUAAAAAUAGUAAAACUGAAGUGAUAAAAAAAAAUUGACGUCACUUUAAUGGCAUUGUAAGCAACAAUGGAAACAUAAUAAAAUUAGUCAGAUCUUAAAUGUUUCUGGCGAGCAAUGGUAGUUGGUCAGCUUAAUGCGCUAAAGUUCAUCAGCGCAAAAGAGAAAGGAGUGGCGCGGGGAAGGAGAGAUGGGAUGUCGGAGCAGCGCGGGGAAGGGGCGAGGGGGACGACAGAACAGGGCGAAAAAGGGAUGAAUGUGGUCAGCCAUGGUGACUGCUGGUUUAUGCGUUUUUCGGCGGGUUUUCACCGGAUCUUAUUUUGGAUUUUGUUGAUUACCAAUGGGUUUCGCCGGAAACGAGAAUGGGAAUAUUGGUCAGUUGUUUUCUUGCUUUCCGAUGGGAUAUAGGAAGAUCACUGGUGUAACAGUGAUUCCGGCGAGAUUUCGCCGGAGAAAUGGGUUGUCAAACUGAUUUUCCUGGGUUCUCACUUUUUUUUUUUUUGUGAUAUUAACACAUAAUAAUUAAACAUUCAAAACAUAUGUACAAAUACAUAUAUGCAUUUUAUAGUUUGAUCAAUAAUAUGCCAUGACAGAAAGUGCUAAAUAAUACUCAAGGUUACUAGGAUAUUUUUAUUCAUGCUUUUACACAAUGAAGUUUACAAAAUAAAUAAUACAGGAUUGAAUAGAAUCUAUAGUGAAUGAACAAAGAUACUGAUUACUAGAAAACUCCAACUUCAAACUCUAAAAAUGUUCUCCCUUUUCUUUUAUUUUCUUCCCUACUUCACUUGUUUUCUCCCCUUUUUUACUGAUUUUGAUAUUUUAUUUGGUAUGGUUUCUGAUGUAGUAACUGUGUAAAAAAUAUUUGACGGUGAAUGUAUGUCCGUAGAUUUCUGGGGAGGAUCUUUAAGUACAGAAAUUUGGGGAGUAGUUACCUUUUGAAAAAAUAACUAAUGGUUAGAUAAAAGGAGAACUCAAAAUUUAAAUUAAUUAUUAUUUUUAAUUUCUAGAAGAUAAUAAUAAUAAUAAUAAUAAUAAUAAUAAUAAUAAUAAAUAAAGAUAAUGAUAAUAAUAAAUAUAAUAAUAAUUAAUUAAUUUUUAUAUUUAAUAAAAACAUAAUAAAAAUGUAUAAAUAGACAAAAUAAAUAUAAGAAAAUAAUAUUUAAAACUACUAACUUAUUUAUUUAAAAACAAACAUAUUUAUUUAUUUUUUUUAUUUUUAAAUUUUUGUGUUAUUUUUUAAAAAUUGGAAUAACAUAAAUAAUAUCCUAAAAUUAACUUCAUUUAUUUAUUUAUAUAUUUUUUUAAACUAAAAAUUUAUUAAAAAUAAGAAUUAAAAUAAUAUCGAAUCAAAUAUAAAUAUUUUAAUAUCGAAAACUAUAUAUAUUACAUCCGGGAAGGGUCAAAAUUCACGUGUCUACACACUCUUUAUCCUAGUCACCAUGACCUUGCCACAUAAGCAAGGUCAACGAACAAAGGUCAAAGGGUGCGAAAUGUUGAUUUUUGAUAGGCUCAAGAGUUCAGAUGACAAACAUGUAAGUAGAAGUGUCCAACUUACAAAACUGACAUAGUACAGGGGUCCAAUAGAGUAUUUUUUCAUUAUUUUAUGAAGAAACCUUCCAAUUUGUUACGGUUUCAUAAUUAUAUUCCAUCAUAAUUUUCUUUAUGAUAAUCGUUUUUGUGAUGAAUUUUCCUUCAUAAAUAUGGUUUUUACUUUUUUUUUUCUUUACUUUUUUUAAAGAAAAACAGAUUUUAUUAUAAGCAAAUAUGUACAAAGCAUAGGAGGCAUCCCUCCAUGUACCUACUUAGUAUGAGACACUCUCCAUACUAUGGAACAAGUAGGAUUUCUAAUAAACUCUCAAAAAAACAUCUAAAGAUGCUCGCCUCAACAUUGAGAGGGAUCAUCAAGGUACAUCAAAAGUGUAGUUCCUAUACAAGUUUCUAUCCAUAUAAAAUGAGUUCUUACAAUAUUUUUUUUCGAAAAGAGGGAUAAUUCAUUAUAUCCAUGUUUAAGGCUCCUCUAACAUUCCGGGGUAAUUGUCGAAAGUCGUAGAUCCAUUGAAUAUCAGUGAAUUGUAUUCCCCAGUUGGCUAGACCAUCAGCUACCUUGUCACCUUCCCUGAAACAAUGGGAAAUAUGCCACAUUUUCACUUGAUCUAGUAAAUUUUUUAUCCUUGUUAGAGAGCUCCAUAUGUUCCAGGGUGGCUUACUUGAAUUGUUAAUCCACUCUACUAACAAUUUCGAGUCCAAUUCCACUUCUAAUUGUCUAACUCCUUUUGUUACACACCAUUCUAGACCAAUCUCUAGAGCUAAAGCUUUGCACUGGGUUCUUUCCAAAAGUUAGCCACCAAGAUAUAAUUUGAUGUUCGAAGCUAUUUUGCCCCUCAUUGAUUCCAAACAACCUGCAAUAACAUCUUCAAAUAUCUUGAGCAAUCUUUCCUUUGUGGAAUAGAUGCUCAACAUCUUCCUGCUCAAAGUUAGUACAACAAAAACAUCUAGAUGAAAGAUGAACUUUAAACUUAAUUAAAUUUAAAUCAACUGCAACCUUAUUCCUUAAUACUUUCCAGAGAAAAAAGGAAAUUUUAAAAGAAUUUUUUUUGUGCCAAAUCAUUUUGUUAAAGAAGUUUGAGUCUUUCUAGCUCCUGAUAGUUUUCCAAGAUGAUUUACUAUCAAAUCUUCCAUCUGUAUUAAUAGUCCAGAUUGGAAAAUCUUCAAGAUUAGAAGAGUUAAUAGUAAUCUCCUGAAUGAUGUUAACAAUAUUUAUAGGAAGAUUCUGACGAAUUUUGAUGAAAUUCCAAGUACCGUUUUGUAUGUAAUCCGACACUUUGAUUCUAAUCGAUGUAGAAGCUUCAGCAUAAUCAACUAAUUCGCCUAUUUCAGUCCAGUUGUCCCACUAAAAGCUUGAGUUGUCUUUGUUGAUUCUCCACUGAAUAAGGUGAUCAACUUUUUCUUUAAUCUUCAUCAUUCUUCUCCAAUUGUAAGAAUGUUUAUAACUCUAUUUCCUAGACACUGGGUGGAUUCUUUUGGAAUACUUGGCUUUCAUGAAUCUAGUCCACAUGGAGUCUUUAGGUUCUAAAUUGCCACCAUAACUUGACAGCAAAACUUUCUGAAAUAUCGUGGAUGGACCUGAUACCAAUACCCCCUCCUCCAUAGGAAAGCACAUACUGUUCCAGGAAGCCCAAUGAUACUUUUGUUUUCCUUCUUUACUUCCCCAGAAAAAACUAGCAAAAAUACUAUCCAUCUGUUUAAGGAUUGUCUCUGUAGGCUGACAAACAGACAAGAGGUGAACAAACAUCGCAUUUAAAACAUGCUUAAUAAAAAUUAUUUUACCUCCAGCUGAUAGUUUAUUACAAUGCCAUGCUCCCACUCUUUUUAUUAUCGUGGAAGCCAUGUCAGCAAAGUAUUGAUUCAAUUUUUUUCCUGCAAACAAUGGGCAUCCCAAAUAAUAAAUGGAGAAUUCUUCCUUUUUCACUUAAAGCAAGUUUUCGACGAUGUUGAUCCUGUUUUGAGAAAUGCCCUUGUCCAUAAUGAAGCAACUUUUCUCUCUGUUUAUCAAUUGUCCUGAAUUCAUAUGACCUGAGGCAAUCAGUGAUGAGUCUCAAGGUUUUAGAUUUACCUGAACAAAAGAUAAUCAAGUUGUCAGCAUAAGCUAAAUAAUUAAUCCUUGGUUCGUUGGGAUCCAUACUGAAUCCGUUAAAUCUAGAAUUAUCAUAUAAUUUAUUAAGCAUAAUGGAUAGUACUUCGGCAGUUAUUAUAAAUAGAGAAGGAGAUAUCGGAUCACCCUGUUUAACACCUCUAUGAGAUUUAAAAAAUCCAUGUCUUUUGCUAUUUAUAAUGACUGAAUACCAAUUAUUGGAGAUAAGAUUCCAAAUCAUAUAAAUCCAUCUUUCAUCAAAACCCAUUCUUCUCAUAACAGAACAAAUAAAGCGCCAAGAAAUUCUAUCAUAAGCUUUAUUCAUAGCAAUUUUGAAAAUCACAUUUCCCCCUUUGUUUACUGUUUUAAUCUCAUGGAUAAUUUUUUGGGCAAGUAAAACAUUUUCUCCAAUUUCUCUACCUUUAAUAAAAUCACUUUGAUUAAGAGAAAUGAUAUUUGGAAGGAUCAAAGUCAACCUAUUAUUUACAACUUUUGAAAUUAUUUUUUGAAUGACAUUGCUAAGACUAAUAGGUCUAAAGUCUGAAAAAGUUUGGGGGAUCUCCACUUUAGGAAGCAAUACCAGACAAGUACUAGUAAAAAAGUUCACCAUUAAAAAUAUUUUUAACUAAUAAAACAAUAUCUAAACCAGUGAUAUCCCAAGUCUUUUGAAAGAAGAGACUAGUGAAACCAUUAGGGCUUGCUGAGCUAUUGGGAUUGAUCUCAAAGACAACACUUUUAUUUUCUUUCCUCAGUAGGAUCUUGAAGUAAAGAUUAAUUGUCUUCCUCACUGAUGCAUUUGAUGAUGUUGUCCAGAAUAGUCAUAUCAAUGUUGUGGUCAUCUUGAGAGAAUAACUGCUGAAAAAUCAGCUGCUGCUAUACCAAUAUCAUUUUCACCUUCUAAGCAAUUCUCCCCCACUUUUAUUUUAUAAAUUUGUAGAAAUUUUCUUCUACCUUUCACAAUAGUUUGAAAAUAUUUUUUAUUCUUAUCCCCUUCCAAAUUUCAUUUCAAGUUUGCUUUUUGCCUCCAGAAAGUAUCCACAUACUUGUGGUGAAUAAUCAACUCUGCUUUGGAUUUGUUCAUGUUUAUCCUAUCUUGUUGAUCCAACGAAGAUAUAUACUUUUCUUCAUAAUAUUUGACUCGAUCUUUCAUAAAUUGAGACUUCUCAAAGAUGUUGCCGACUUCGAUUUUAAACCAGUGAGUGAGAGCUUUGCUAGUUCUCUUUAAUUUCUGCUGAACUUGCCAAAAUAUGUUGUCAUUAUCAUGAGAUGUCCAACAACUCUUGACCACUUCAUGAAAUUCAUCUAAAUCAGUCUAAAAUAAAAAAUCAAAAGUAUUUAAUGUGGGUAUCUUGAAUGCUUCCAAGAAUAAUAACGAGAGGGGCAAUGAUCUAAACUGACUCUAAUCAUAUGUUGAACAUUGCAAAAGGAAAAAUAGUCAUCCCAUUUUUCAUUACACACCAUCCUAUCCAACCUUUUCCAUAUUAUCUCUUGUCCUUUUCUCUCAUUGCACCAAGUAAAAGUGUUUUCAAUAUCUCUCAAACCACAAUCAUGGAGACACUCUAUAAAUGGAAUGCUUUUUCUUAGCCUGUAUAGUUUGCCCCCCAUCUUUUCUUCCUUAAAUAAAAUGCUGUUGAAGUCUCUGAUGACUACCCAAGGAGCAUUAAUGGUAGUAGAAGACACACUCAUAUAUCUCCACAAAUCUUUCCUUCCCAAAGCCUGGAUUUUGCAUAAACAAUAGAAAUGAAGAAAUAUUUCUAUUUAUCUUGAAUUUUGCAAGUCACCAUUUGGUCUUCACUAGAGUAGAUAAAACACUCAAUAUUGUGUUUCCAAAAAAUUCAGAUCUUAUUACUACAAAUAGCGUAACACCCUUUCAUAUCAAGAGACUGCAUAUAUAGUUCAAUUUUUGUUUCUUUGACGAAAGGUUCCUACAUCGCUACCAGAGAUAUAUCUUGGCUAAACUAACAAAAACUUUAAUCUCUCAGUAGAGGCUUGGGACUUCAUACCCCUAAUGUUUCAAUUAAGCAUUCUGAUCAUUAUUCAACUUUGCUAAUUGAUAUGUUGCUUUCUAACAAUGGUGUUAAAUGUUAAUAAGGGGAAAUGAGGUCACGUUACAUUGUCAUGCAAUAUUUUUCACUGUUUCGCUAUCUCUCAAGUAGAGUUUAAAACUAGGGAUAAUUACAUAAUUUAGUCAAUAUUGAAUUCUAAUUACCUAAUUUAGCCUACUUUCAAUUAAUUACAAUUCAUAGUCUCCUCUUGCCUAUUAAUUUUUCAUAAUUACAAUUCAUACUCUCUCUCAUUUAUUUUUUCUUUUUCUCUAUUUUCUAUUACUUCCCUCUUUUUUCCUUUUUCCUUUUUUUCUUUUCUUUGUUUUUUUUUCGUUUUCUCUUUCUUUUCUUUUUUCAAUUUUUUCUUUUUCGUUUUCUUUUUUACCUUUUUAUUUUUUGCCCUUUUUUUUGUUUUUUUGUUUAUUUUCUAUUAAUCUUUUUUUUUUCCUUUUUCUUCAUUUUUUCUAUUCCUUUUUUUGUUCUCUUUCUUCUUUCUUUUUAAAAAUUUUUCUUUUUCGCUGUCUUUUUUUUCAUUUUGUCUUUUUUUUUUCUUCUUUUCUAUUUUAUUUUUUCCUCUAUUUUCUAUUACUCUUUUUCUUUUUUUUUUUCUCCUUUUUUUCUUUUUUUGUUCCUUUCAUUUUUCUCCUUCUUUUCAUUUGUACGAACUAGCAAACACAAAUACAAGUGUGAACUAUGAUACAAUUUCUUAUUUUUCAUUUUCUUUUUUUCCUUUUGUAUUUUUUUUCCUUUUCAUUUUUCUCUUUAUUUUUGGCUUUUUUGUCUAUUUUCUACUACUCUUUUUUUUUUUUCUUUUUUCUUCAUUUUUUCUUUUCCUUUUUUUGUUUUCUCUUUUUUCUUACUUUUUUCAAAAUUUUUUCGUUAUCUUUUUAUCAUUUUGUCUUUUUUUUUCUUUUUCUUCUUUUUCUUUUUAUUUUUUUCUCUAUUUUCUAUUACUAUCCUUUUUAUUUGUAUUUUUUUCCUUUUUCUCAUAUUUUUUCUCCUUUUUUGCCUUUUUAUUUUUUCUCUUUCUUUUCAUUUGUGUGAACUAACAAAUACAAAUAUAAGUGUGAACUAUGUUUUAAUUUUUUUUUCUUUUUUCUUUUUUUUCUUUUUCUUUUUUACCUUGUUAUUUUUUCACCUUUUUUUUAUUUUUUUUGUCUAUUUUCUAUUACUCUUUUUUUUUCUUUUCUUUUUUCUUCAUUUUUUUGUUUUCUUUUUUUUAUUUUGUAUUUUUUUUCUUUUUAUUUUGUACCUUUUUAUUUUUUCUCCUUUUUCUUUUUUGUCUAUUUUCUAUUACUCUUUUUUUUUCUUUUUUCUUUAUUUUUUCUUUUCCUUUUUUGUUUUCUCUUUCUUCUUUCUUCUUUCUUCUUUCUUUUUUCAUGUUUUUCAUUUUCGUUGUCCCUUUUUCAUUUUGUUUUUUUUUUUCUUUUUGUUCUUUUCCUUUUUAUUUUUUUCCUUCUUUUUUUUAUUUCUUCUCUAUUUUCUAUUUCUCUCCUUUUUUUUUUUGUAUUUUUUCUCCUUUUUCUCACAUUUUUUCUUAUUCUUUUCAUCUGUGCGAACUAGCAAACAAAAAUACAAGUUUGAAUUAUAAAAUAUAAAUACAAAAGCGAAUUAUAACUUACAAAUAUAAGUGGAAACUAUAAAAUACAAAUACAAAUUAUAACAUAUAGAUACAAGUGCGAACUAUUAUUUGUAUUUUUUAAUUAUUGAAAAGGAACGAUUGAUUUUCAUUUUACGAAUACUUGUUUGUAUUUAUUUAUACGAGUUGCAUUUAUUGAUACAAAUAAAUACAAUUCAAUUUCUUAUAAAAAUACAAUAUAUACAAAUACAAUAUGUAUUUGUAUUGUUAAAAUCAUUGGUUUCAUUUGUUUGUAAUUGUAUUUGUAUCAAGUGAUAUUUAUUUAUUUACAAAUAAGAAUAAUAAUUUUGACAUACAAAUAUAAAAUGGUACAUUGGUAUCAAAUGAUACAUUGCAUAUUUAUAUAUUUUAAAAUCAAGAAAAUACAAUUAAUGCAUUUACUUGUUUGUAUACAAAUAUAAAUGAUAAAUUGUACAUAAUCACGGUUAAAUACAAUAUGCAAUCAACUUACAAAUACAAAAUAAUUCUUUAAAAAUAAAAAGACAUCGACGAAAAUAGAAUACAAAUACAAAUAUGAUCUAAAUAUACCAACACAAUAAAAUCAUAAUACAAAUAUAAUCCAAUAUAAUACACAGUCAAUUAUAAAAUACAAAUACAAAGUAUUUUUUAAAAUACAAGUACGAAUUAUAUAAAAUAUAAAUGAUGGGGUGAACUAACAAAUACAAAUACAAGUGUGAACUAUAAAAUUCAAAUAUAGACGCGAACUACAAAAUACAAAUACAAGCGCAAACUUUAAAAUAAAAAUACAAAUAUAGUUGUAAAAAUAUAAAUGACGACGUGACUACAAAUAGAUAAACAAUUAUGGUGUUUACGUUAUCAUCAAUGACUUGUGCUUGAAUAGUUAUAUUUUUUAAAAAUACAAAAAAUAUAAAAUAGAACAAAAAAAAUGAUAAAGAAAAUAAGUACAUAAAAGAAAAGAAAAGGAAAAAAAAAAGAAAGAGAGUUAGAAGAGAGAAAAAUAUAUAUAAAAAAUGAAAAAAAUAAAAAUAUGAAAAAUUUAAAAAAAGAAGAAGAAAAAUCGAGGAAAACACGAAAAAGAAAAAAUAAAAAAGAAAAAAAUGGUAGUGUUUUUGGCAAGACUAAAUAUGUAGUAUAUUUAUGUUUUUAUGAAUACAGACCACUGAGUAAAAGUGAAUACAACGGCUGUGAAUCGAAUACAACAACUAAAUGAUACUGUAUUUAUAUUUUAUAUGAAUACAGACUAUUGAUAAAAUCGAAUACAGCGGGCGUAAAUUGAAUACAACGACUAUAAAUGGUAAUUAUGUAAAAUGACUAUUAAAGGUGAGUUUUCUAGCAAAAUAUGGCUACUUUUGAAAGAUCUCCUUAAAACUAUCUGGUACACAUAAUUACAAUUCUAGAUCAACUUUACUUUACUACAGAGAAAUCUCUAAUUUAAUCUACUUUCUUGUUCGCAUUUUGCACUCAUAAUAUCAGUAAUAUCCUUUUCGAAAAAGGGUCAAAAAUACCCUUAGACUAUUGAAAAUGGAUUAAAAAUAUCCUUCGUUUCUUUUUUGGCUCAUAAAAGUCCCUCUGUUUGUUUUCUGACUCAAAAAUACCCCUCUGUUAUUUUUUUGGCUAAAAAAUACCCUUCUCUCUAACGGAAUGUCAUCAAACACGUCACUUGGAUUAAAAAAAAAUUAUUUAAUCAGUCCAUAUCAGCGUACACAUGAAAAAUCACUCCAUUUUGUCCAUUUAACCAUCAACUCAUUUUAUUCUAUUUAAAAAUCUAACCCGAUCCAAGAGACAAAAUUCAAUUCUUCAAUUUUUUUUUUCUUAGAUCAUCCAUUUCACCUUCUUCCAUUCUAUUAUCAAUAUUUUUAAAGUUACGAGACUCAUUCAAGCAAUUCUUGACCUCAUCAACUUGCAGUUGUCGUAUAUUGCCUCAAAACUUACUCUCUCCAAAUUUCAAUUUCAUCUCCGAAUUACCAUUCCUCUCACUGCAAUCAGGUUCCUGAUUGGACAAAUUCAGAUAGGAAUUCCAGUAGCAAUCUGAGCUCUUGAAAAUUGGGUUGACUAUUGAGGCACCAAUUGUCUAGGGUCGACCCGAUUCUUUUGAGUAACAAUUUGAGGGCCUGAUUAUUUCCUCAUCUUUUACCUUGAUGGAUCCACAAUAUCUGAACCUAUCACAUGAAAAAUAAGCAAUCAAUUUCUCAAAUUUUUCCUCUUGAGUAGGGUUUUUUUAAAUACAGGCGGGGUUGGAUAUUUUAAAUAGACAAAAUUGAGUUGAUGGUUAGAUGGAUUAAAUUGAGUAAUUUCCCACAUCUAUGCUGACGUGGACUGGCCAAGUGACCUUUUUAAUCCACGUGGCAUGUCUGGUGGUAUUCCGUUAGAGAGAAGGGUAUUUUUAAGCCAAAAAGUUAAUGGAGGGGUAUUUUUGAGACAAAAAAAUUAGUGGAGGGGUAUUUUUGAGCCAAAAAACAAAUGGAGGAUAUUUUUAAUCCAUUUCGAAUAGUUUAAAGGUAUUUUUGACCCUUUUUCGUACUUUUUUAAAAAUGUACACCAUAUUUUCUUAAUUGGUACUCUUUGGUUCGUUAAUUUUACGCAUUUUCUUGGAAAAUCUUCAUGAAAGUUGUUAUGAAGAGCAAGAAAAAUGUAAUUAAAUCGGAGCCUUUACGCUAUUUAUCUUCGUUUCAACUUUUAUCUUAAGAAACCUGUUUAUUACUGAUUAAUUUAGUAUUCUAUGUUACACUUUGAUCUUCCAUUAAUUAAUAAACUUUGUUGCUUUGUUACCAUUUAAUUUUUCUAUUGAUGUUUCAAGAUUUCAAGUGAAAUUUGAUCAAACUGACAUUGGACAUGACCAUGCAGAAGCCAUGUCGAGAGGAUUUAUCAGUUGGCAGAAAAUUAAAAUGAUCCAACAUUAGACAUGGAAUAGUUGUUCGUUUCUGCAUUUGUUUUUUCUUAAAACAGAUAUUCUAAUUAAUGUCUCAUUAAUUUUAAUUCACUCCACUUUUGCUGAUUAGAAAAUUACAAUGGAGUCAUCUCGUUACAAUUGAUUAGAAAAUUACAUCCUAAAUGUAUGUAGGAGAUGUUUUUUUUUAAAUUACAUGUUUGACUUGACAUACACAAGUAAUAAUAAAUAAAAUAAUAAUUAACUAUAUCACGAUUAAUUAUUAUAAAUUAUCUCUUGAUUUUUUAAAUUGAACAAGUUGUAAGUGUAGUCAAUUUUUUUUUUAUUAGUACAGCUAAAGUAAAAAAAGAAUGAAUAUGAGGUAUCUCGAUUAAUAAUGUAACAGGAAAAAAAGAUGAGAAUUUCCCUUCUUAUAAUUUACUUUUGACCUUGGAGAAUUAUAUGCACGAUUUUACCACGUAAUAUAAACUAUGUAUUGACUCGUAGGAGCACCGGAUGGUUGUACGUUAAAAUGCAGGGGUCAUCACCUCUAAGAGAUCGAAUCCUUGGAAUGUAAUGAAUGGGCGAAUUAAAUUGAAUUUGGACGGGUUAAAAUAUGUUGAGUUAAUACAUGACGAAUUAUUGACUCUUCCAAAGUUUUUUUUGUUUUUGGUUUCCCAAGGUAUCCCCACAACCGGCAGUCGUGAGACUAAUCCUCCGUUCCUCUGUCAGCACACUAAGCGGUAGGAAACUGGCCACAGAGUUUGCUCCAUUCGCCAGAGGAGGGGAUCAAAUUCCCGACCUCUUGCUUAAGGGACAUGACGCUGAACCACCAUGCCAACUCUAGUGGUCGACUCUUCCAAAGUUACUUAGGGUGAAAUAGGCUAAAAGCGGGUCAAAAUUCAACUGCCAAAUUCUUAUUAAAUAUUAAUUGCCUUAUUUAUUUUUUUAUGAGUACCUAAUAAAUUAUUACCAUUAUUGUUUAUUAUGGUUAUAUAUAAAUAUUUUUUUGAAAGUCAAUUUGGACUAGAUAUCAUUUAAAUUUAGACGGUCUGAACUAACAAAUAAUCAAGUCAAUAAUCAAUCCAAACUUAAACGAAUGAAAAAAUUAUAAUUUUAUUUGCUAAUUUUACCAUCUGUGUAUUAUCAAUUGUUCCAAAUUGACUUAACGAUACUUUAUCUUCUCCCAGCAAGGAGGAUACUGUAAAUGUUGGAGAUUUUUUUAUUUAUUUUUUGAUAAAUUUCUCAGUCAUCUGGGGGUGUUGUAUAUCAUACCAAAGGUUUAAUUACAACACACGAUAGAGACUAUCCGUCAAAAUAAAAAAGAAGAGCUUUCAACAAAACAACUUAUUGCUCAUUCUCCUACUGUGCAUAAAGUAAUUAGCCUAACCAACAAAAAAUUUGCCUUGUCAUCUUCAGUUCUAAUGGAUGGAACUUGUCUCUUGUCCAAGCAUAAGAGGCCUUUAGCACCAUUUUGAAGCUCCUGUUCUGGUAAAUAGAUGUUGUUAAUUUGAGAGUUCAAUGCCAUUUUGGCUAGCCAGUCUACAAGUUGAUUAGCUUCCCUAUACCAAUGCUUAUAUUUUGCCGUUGUGUGCUUGAACUAUCCAGAGGUGUUGUCAAUAAUAUAAUCUUGUUAAGUCUAAAGCUUCCUGCCUUCUUUUCUUUGAGUAUUUCGGUAACGACCAUGGAGUCUAAUUUUAUAAGAAGGUUGGUGUAUCCAUUGUUUCUACACCAAUUAACUGAUAUGGGAAUUGAGAAGGCCAUGAUCAAUUGUCCUCCCUCAUCUCUGAGCGCUCCCCCCAAACCUGCUUUGAUAGUGUCCUUGUCGAAGCUUCCAUCAGUAUUCAAUUUGAUGAAGCCCGGUAUAUGAUUGGUUAUGAUCCUUCCUAGUCAAUUUUGGAGAUGAUGCCACGUAUAUGAUUGAUUGGUUAUGAUCCUUCAAAGUUAUUCCAUGUACCAGGAGCCAUUGUUGAUAAAAUAUUUGACUAGGAGUUUUCAACUCUUCGCAGAAUCAGUAGCUCGAUGGGCUAGAAGACUUAUAUGUUGGGUUGAAUAUGUAUGGAAAGGUGUGAAUGAAAAUGGUGAGAAAAAUAGUGGAAGGAAGGAGACACCAAUUUAGAAGGUGUACUCCCAAAUUGGAAAGUUUAUUAAUUCUCCCACCAAUACUCCCAAAUUGAAAAGUUUAUUAAUUCUUCCACAUUGGUGGGAGAAGGGAACUUUGGAGUGUUUAUAAUAAUGAACACUUACUCCACAUGAUUAGUGAGGCAAGAAAUAGGAGAUGUCUUGCGCCGUUGUUGUUGCUCGCUAGCUUAGCUUUGGCUUCGGCAAUUGAUUGAUGAGAUAUAUAUGUUUGGACAAAAUUUAUUUGAAUUCCUGAAAUACCUAAGUGAAAAAUGAAAACGCAAUAAAUAUUUUCUGUGUUUUAUCCUCCAUUUAUAUGUAUGUAUACAGUGAACUGUUGCAAUGUUUCAACCUGAACUGAUGCACUGUUUCGAACUGAACUGAUGCAAUGUUAUGAAUGGUAUGUCUGUUUUGAAAAGACAUAGUUUUGGAUGAAAAGACAUCAAUUUUCAGAAAAGGCAAACCUCUAAAGUGAACCAUGACCUCUUUUCAGAAGAGGCAUAUUGUGGCUAUAUAAACCUGUUUUCAUUCAAAGGUUUAGGUACGAAAUUUUUUGGAAUAAAAACUCUUCUUCUCUUAAAAAUAUUCUGUAUGAUGAUUCAAACCGUUGAGUGCGUUCGUGAAAUCCAACUAUUUGAGAUACAACUAUAAUUGGAUUGAAGGUCAUUUUAUCUUGGGAGGAAAAUUCCAUAACCUCGGGUACAAUGAGGGGAAUUAUUCUUUAAGGACUCUCCGUGAACUCGGAGGACUUGAUCUAAAAUUCUGUUUCAUCUUAAUUUCUGAAAAUAAAAUACACUUCUUAGAAAGAUCACUUUGAUCUUGUGUUGAGGGUAUUUUCUGUACUUCAUUGUGUUCUUGUUUUUUAAACAUUGAACUAAAAUUGAAGUUGUUGUUUCUAGUAUACAGAUUCUUAUACCCGUAGAAGGAAGAAUAACAUUAUACAAGUCCAAUUGUUGGAGAUAUAUGAACAUAUUGAUUUUCAAGGCGAAAUAAAUUCUUCUUUAUCAUCAUCAACACUUCAUCUAUGUCCUUGUUUGUGAAUAUCACUGUACGUACAUGAAAAAUUUUGGAAAUUCAAAACCUAAAGUAAUUCGUGCAUUCAAAGCCCAAUAAUCAAGUCAGCUUUUCAAUUUAUCAUAUAGACUAUACUUUUGACUUUGUGACAUUCGAUUUUUCUGUAUUGGUACAAACUUUUGUCUCCUUCAAUGAUACAUAGAAAACAAAAGAAAAAAGUAUUUUCCAUAACUCAGUGCUCUUAUAUUCUUUAUUUUUCCUACAUUUCUCUCCGAACCUCAUAACAUAAAAUGAGACGAAGUACCUUAUUUUUACUUGUUCUAGUAAGUCAUGCAUGGCAAUUUGCUUGAUGCUUCAAAAAUAAAAGGUCCAACAUCAUAGAAAUCAAAUAUGGGUGGUUGUUCCGGCAGACGCAUGGCAGGGGUAACAAUUGGUGGCUUAGGUGGUACAACUUGUUUCAAUAGAGCACCUGUUUUACCGCCAUUGAAAUCUGUUGGUACAUUACAAGUGGGAUUUGGUGAUUUCAGUAAGUAUACCCUGCACUUGCUGAUAUCUGCUCCACUUAAAGAUUUGAGCGUGAUCAGAAACACACCAUUGUUGUUUGUCGUGGCUGAUUCAAUAAUUCCCUUCUUUCCAUUGUAGCAAACUAGCUUCACAGAAGCUCCUGCAAGAAUAAUAUUAAUUAGAACAACCAUUAAUUGAAUUGUGUAAGCAAAAUUCCAACAGAAAAAUCACCUACAUCUUUGUAACCGUGACAAUGGUUUUAUUGAAACUUACUUGAAAUAACUCCCUUCGAUAUUCUAUAUGCACCCUUACGUGAACCAAUACAUACAUUCCUAUGCGAACUAUCUCCAAAGAUAGUGUUUUAGUUUGUUUUGAGUUUAUGUGACAUGCAUUACAUGUGAUUAAUACGUAACCACAUAGAAAUAGAAAUUAAGUACCUCCUCUUACAUGUAUACAUUAGUUUAUUUAGUGUAUACCGGUGAGGCUAAAUUUUUACCGAAGACGGAGCAUAUGAUAUAUAUAUAUAUAUAUAUAUAUAUUUAAAGUUAGUAAAUAUUUAAAAAUAUACUAAAUGGUGAACCUAAAAUAUUAGUUGACCCACUUAUUAAAAAUAUUUAUUUUAAUUUAAUUGUCCAGUUCAUUAAAAAAAUUAUCUUACUUUUCUAAUAUUAUCUCUUUGAUUAAACAUUGUAUAAAGUUUAUGAUACUCAAAUUUAUAUUUUUAAAGCAUAAUUAAUGAAGCUAGUAUAGUUAAAUAGACCUUGGAGUAGGGAGGCGUUGAGGAGAAUAGGAGCCCCAUAGCUGUUGCAAGAUUUACAGUACACAAGGCCCUUAACGGUUCUAGUCUCGGCGGUGGGAAGUAAUGGAGGUAGAAUUAUCGGUUUAAUUGGUCGCCGUCGAAUAAAGGGUUGUUUCUCUACUGGUGAUGGAGAUGGUGCCAUAACUGAUGGAUUAGCAAUUGAUGGUGGAGAAGCUGGCGGAGGCGGCGGUGGUUUUUUUGCAUGUGGUGAUGGAGAUGGUGCCGUAACUGGUGGUGGAGUUGGUAGUUUUGCUGGUGAUGGAGAUGGUUGUUUUGCUGGUGAUGGAGUUGGCUGUUUCGCUGGUGAUGGAGAUGGUGCCCGAGGAAGAGGUGGUUGAUUUGCUGGUGCUGGAGACGGUGCCUUAACCUGUGGUGGUGGAGGUGGUUUCAGUGAUGGCUUACACUCUGGAGGUGGAGGUGGAGGUGGAGAUGGUGACUUAUUACCUGGUGGUGAUGGUGACGAUGGCGUUGGGGGGAAAACCAGGAGGAAUUAUUAGAGGAGGCCUAAUGGGAGGAGCCAAAAGGCCGAUGAUAAUAGGUCCAAUAAGUGAUGAUAAGUCUGAUGACGGUGGAGGUGGUGACGGUGACGGUGACGGAGGAGGUGGUGAUAACCGCACCCGCGGUGAAGGUUGAAAUUCUUUCUCGGUCCCCGGUCGAGGUCGAAAUCUGCCUGGGGUAAUCUGCAGUGGUUGGAAGCCCAAAUCAGGCAAUGUAUCAUCAAUAGUAGGCAAAUCAAAGCCUUUUACAUGGCUCAGCUUUGAGAAUGAGGCAAGUAAUAGACCUAAAAGUAAUUGUACUAGUAGGGCCUUAGCUGAAAUUACAACCAUAGUUACUAUUGUUAACUCAAUUAAUUAAUCACCUAUGUUGAAGGAAGUCAAACUGAAUGAAUUUACAGAAGAGAAGAUUCUCAAUUUUGUUUUAUUACAAAUACUACUUAAUAUUAUAAAUAAAAUUAUCUUCCAUUCCCCAAAAAAGAAAAUUGUUUCAUUGAAAUAUUAAGAAAAUAAAAUUAGAAGCCAUAUGUAAACACUAGUGGCAUGUCGUUAGUGAUGAGCACGGCUUAAUAUUUAUAUUUUUUUCUCAAUUUAUGUAAUAUAUUUUAUUUUUUUAACUUGCUUAAAAAAGAAUGUCAUUUUUUCAUUUUUAGAAAAAAUUUACUUUUAUAAUUUUUGUUUUAUAUUUUAAUAAAAUAUUUUAUAAUCAUACAAAAUCUAAAGUUUAUUUAUUCCACAAAUUUGAAAAGCAUUUCAUUUUUUCUAUACCAUGCUUAAUCAAAUGGUGUCAUAUAAAUUGAAAUAAAAAAAUGGUAAAAAAAUAAAAAUUAAUUUUUUUAUUUUACGUAUUUUAUGCUUCAUUUAUUUGUAUUUGAUAAAAAUGAAAAUUUUAUUUAUUCAAAUUUAAGCUAGUAACUAUGUAAUUAAUUUUUUGUUUGAAUCUAAUCCUUUAGAUCUCAAUAGGUGUACUACUUUCAUGCUUUCUUUUCGAUACAGAUUUACUAUGGCAAAAUACUUCAUACAAUCAUUUUUAAUUUAGUAUUUUGUAUCUAUUUUAUUCUUAUUAUUAAAUAUUAUUUAUUUUUUAAUACUUAAAUAACUUAUAAUAACUAAUUAGAGGUGAUUAAUAAAAUUACGAACAAAAGUACUCCACUGGUGAACAAAUUUAACUGAACCCCAUAUAAGUCGUCAUAUUAGUUUAAAACAUAAGAGUUGACUUUUAAUUUUGUGUCUAUUUUACUUUUUUUAAUGAAAUAUUAUUAAUUUCUAAUACUUAGAUAACUUAUAAUAAUUUAUUAGAGGUGAAAUAGUAAAAUCACGGUUAAAACAACUGAAACAGAUAUAUAAUAAAAGUCUAUUUUACCUUUUUAAUUAAAUUUUAUUAAUUUUUUAAUACAUAAAUGACUUGUAAUAAUUAAUCAAAAAUGAUAUACUAAAAUUAUUAUCGAAGCAGAUGAAACAGACAUAUCAUAAUGUCUAUUUUAUCUUUUCAUUAAAUAUUAUUAAUUUUUUAAUAUAUAAAUGACUCAUAAUAAUUAAUCAAGAAUGGUAUAGAAAAAUUAUAAUUGAAACAGUUAAAGCAAACAUGUUGAUCAUGAGCAGCCUGCUUUAGCUGAUUCAUUGUCAUUUAUAAUAUGGAAAAGGACAUGGACUAACCAUUUUUGAAAAGGUGGACAACUGUAGCCAGUCGACCAAAUUAAUUUCCUUUUUUAGCCAUUUGACCCAAUUGGGCACAUGCAGUCUCUAUACUCAAUUGAUACACUUUUAUACUAUAUUGAUACACUUUUUACAAAAGAGAAAUGAAAUUCUAUGCAAGUACAUGCAGUCCCUAUAUCCAAUUGAUACUCUUUUAUAUCAUAUUGAUACACUUUGAUACCGCAUUGAUACACUUUUAUACUAGAUUGAUACACUUUUAUUCCACGUUGAUACAGUAUAUAUACCACAUGCAUAUACCUUUUACAGAGAAAAUUUGUGCAAACGUAUGCAGUAAUUCGUUAUUCGUAAAUUUGUUAACUUCACCUAAAAUUUUGUGAAAAUUUGUGCAAGCAUAUACAAAAUUUAUUAAAUCCUGUACCCUUACUGUUCAAACAUUCCUGAAUUUUUUCGAUUAAAAAGAGAGGGAUAGUAGAAAAAAAUAAGUCAAAGUGCCACUAUAGUGUUAACUCAUUUGAAAAGAGAUGGAACAAUUAUAGGUGGACUUAUAUUUCAUGUUUUUAUUUUUGUGAUCGCAUCUGAAAAAAUAAAUGGAUGGAUAAAGUGGACUUUUUUCAAAAAAAAAAUAAAAAAAUAACAACAUUAAAAGAAAAAAGGAAAAAAAAUAGUGAAAAAAAAAGAGAGAGGAAGAAGAGUAAUGGAAUAUUCAGUAGCCAUUUGAUGGAAAUGACUACUAUAUGGUAAUAUGAAUUCAAAGGUCAUUUUGAUAAAAAUACUUUGACCGACAAGCCAUUCUCGUCCUCUUCCCUUUAUAAUAUAGGAGAAAACUUAUAUACAAGUCCUCUUGGUGAUCACAUUACCAAUACAACAUAUAUAACAUAUGGAGUUGCUAUAGAAUAUUAACUAUUGUGAGUUUGUGUCAAAAUUUGUCAAUUUAUAAUGAUUUUAUCACAAAAAUUUUCAAACGAUUUUUCAUCGCACGUAUUGUUUUUAGUAUGUUGCUCCUUUAGAGAGAGUAGGUUUAUUAAUAAAGAAUGAAACAGAGUAUAUUCCCACAUAAUAGAGUUUGUGGAGGGUAAAGUGUAUGCAAUUCAUAGCACUAUCUUCGAAAAAGUAGAGAGGUCGUUUUCGAUAGAUCCUGGACUCAAGACAAAAGGAUAGUAAUCAAAGUAAUCAUAAAUAAUAAAACAAGGCGAAAACACAAAUGAACAAUACUCACAAAACAAUAUUAUACACUAACAAACCAAAGACACUAGGAUUUCUACCCUAUGCACAAGGCCAUAAGACUACUAGCGAAGCUACACCACAACACUCCUAACUACUGCCUAAUUAAGACUCAUUCACGCGCACUAGCCCUCUAUCCUAAUAUGCUUCCUCCAAACCUUCUAUUUAGGAUCAUAUCCUCAGUAAACUGUAACUGCUCCAUGUCACGUUUAAUCACCUCUCUCUAAUAUUAAUUCGCCCAAUAUCAAUUUACUUUACGAGUGAAAUAAUCAGUAACUUAAUUUACUUUCUUCAUCGCAUUUUGCACUCUUAACGUCAAUAAUACUUUUUUUUUUAGUGCAGACCAUAUCCUUUAAUUUUACUUGCUACUACUAUUUGAUUCUUGUAACUCAAGCAUUUCCUUACAAGGUCUUCAGAUUACUGUUUUCGCGAGAAGAACUAUUUAUCUUUUUCUUGAUUUCCAUUUUUAAAAUAAUUGUUUAUUACUGAUCAUUACUUGAGUAUUACUGUUUACAACAUAAUUUAAUUCAUGAAAAAUAAAUUUCAACCACAAAUAAAAAUAUGAAGAAACAACAAUUUUAUUGAUAAGCGAUGUGAGUACAAAUCUGUUCCUCCCUUGAUUCUUUUCUCUUGAUUUUCUCCAUAAUUUGAGGGCUGUCAGUAGCGUAUUUCUUGGACGUAGGAUUUGAUAUGAAUUUCUCCGUAAUUUGAGGGCCGUUAGUGGUGUAUUUCUCGAAUAUAGGAAUAUUUGGAUUUGAUCUCCAUGAAAGGAGGUUUUGUGGAUCUUCUUAAUGUAUUUGAUUUGAUUAUCAAGAAGAAAUAGUUUUGAUCUAUAAAUAUCCCAUGAAUUUAUUGGGACUUUGAAGAUCGUUGAUCUCUUUGUGAAUAUCCCGUAAAUUUGUGGGAUACUGGAGAUGCCUUUAAAGGGACAUUUGCCUCUUUAUACAGGCAUAAUUUAGGGUUUAGGUAGAGCAGCUACCAAGCUAGAUUUAGGGUAAAGUAGUCCCAAGAACUCUAACCAAAAUUGAGCUCUUUUUAUAGAGCCAACAACAAUGUCUACAAAUGCCUCUACUUCAAGGUUUGUCGGAGUGUAGACUUGAUGAAACUCAAAGACGAGUCUUGAAGUACCGCUUCCAUCUUUACGAUGGAAGACGGCUACAGAUUUGCAUAUUUGAUUUAUGAGAGAAGAGCUGAAGGGCAGAUUUGGUCCCACUGGGCGUACCAAUUUAUUUACAACAUAAUAUAAUUUAUGAAAAAUAAACUCUAUCCACAAAUAAAAAAAAUGAAGAAACAAUAAUUUUAUUGAUAAAUGAUGUGAGUACAAAUCUGUUCCUCCCUUGAUUCUUCUCUCUUGAUUUUCUGCAUAAUUCGAGGGCUGUCAGUAGCGUAUUUCUCGAACGUAGGAUUUGAUAAGUAUUUCUCCAUAAUUCGAGCGUCGUUAGUGACGUAUUUCUCGAAUAUAGGAAUAUUUGGAUUGGAUCUCCAUGAAAUGAGGUUUUGUGGAUCUUCUUGAUGUAUUUGAUUUGAUUAUCAAGAAAAAAAGAGUUUUAAUCUAUAAAUAUCUCAUGAAUUUAUUGGGACUUUGAAGAUCGUUGAUCUCUUUGUGAAUAUCCCGUAAAUUUGUGGGAUACUGGAGAUACCUUUAAAGUGAUAUUUGCCCCCUUUAUAUUGGUGUAAUUUAGGGUUUAGGUAGAAUAGCUGGGGUAAAGUAGCCCCAAAAACUCUAACCAAAAUUAAACUCUUUUUGUAGAGCCCACAAAAUUUCAAUGUCUCCGAUUACACUUGGAUGUUCCAGUAAUAAACGGUUGUUGCUUUGCUCCCCUUGAAUUCUACUCUAGAUGUUUCAAGCUUUCAAGGUAACAGAAAAUACUCAUAUCCCCGCAAUAGAAAUUUGAUGAAAAAUUACACAUGACCACAUGAGUAUGCAGAAGCCAUGCGGAGAGAGUUUAUAAGUUGGCAAAAAAUUAAUUAACAUGAUCCAACAUUAGACAUGGGAUUAUUUUUCGUUUCUCCAUUUGCUUUUUCUUAAAACAGAUAUAUACUAAUUAAUUUCUCAAUAAUUUUAAUUGACCCCCACUUCGCUAAUUAGAAAAUUACUACUAAGUGCACUCGUUACAAUGAUACCCUAAUAUCAUGUAUGUUAAAAAAAAGAGAAAAAAAUCCUUCCAGCUAGCUAGUUGCAAUCAUGUUUGACUUGAUACACAGAAACAAUAAAUAAAAUGAUAAUUUUACUAUAUUACUAUUAAUUAUCAUAAGUCAACACAAAUUAUCUAUUAGUUUUCUAAAUUAAAUAAGUAAAGUGCACAUCCCUUUUUAAUAUAGUCAAAAAAUAAAAUAAAUGGGUGUUACCUUUCUGGAUUAUUGAAGUAACAGCGGAAAAAGGGAAAUCUCCCUUCUUAUUAUAUUUAUUUUUGACCUUAGAGAAUUACAAACAAUAUUUACCUCGUCAUAUAAACCAUGUAGCGACUCACAAGAAGAGCGGAUGGCUGUAAUAUUUGUCUAAUGACACUAUUUACGGAUUAAAGAUUUAAAGUUAAGAAUUCCGAAUGUUAUUGUUCACCAAUAAUUUUAAAUAAUUCAAUUUGGAAACUUCCGAAUGCUAUUGUUCACCAAUAAUUUUAAAUAAUUCAAUUUGGAAACUAAUAUUUCCAAAUUAAUCUCAAAGCUGUUGAGUAGAGCCGAACUUGAAACUCAUACAUACUCCUCAUUUGUCAAAGUCUACAAGGGAUUACAAGGGAUUGAGACGUGUGUUUUUGCUAUUAAAAUUCUUUGGACCUCUUUACAUGCUCAGUAAAAGUUGAUUUGGACCAAAAUGAUCACGAACAAAGUAAAAAUAUAAUGGACAAACUUAUGUUUAAAUUAUAUGUUUUUGCUAAACACUGGAAUUCUUUAUUUAAUUAUUUAUAGGAUUUGGCAAUGACAUUCGAAAUAGACUUUUGUGGAUAAUCUGAUAUCAUGUUAAAUUAUAUUGUAUGACCACCUCAUUCAUGAGAUGAAAUGUACAACAGAAUAUGUAUAUAUAUAUAUAUAUAUAUAUAUUACCCAUGUUUCCAGAAUUUUAAUUUGCCAUUGAGCUAUAUUAAUUCCAUGAUGUUACAAAUUAUUUUGUCUUCCAUUAAUUCCUGAACAAGCUAAGCCUGAUUGAUCCCUUUCAUUGUUUUAUAUAUCUUCUUUUGUUGUGCUACUCCACUAAUUAAUUAAAAAAUCAAAAGUACGUAGGAAAAUUACACUUCGAGAUUCAAAAUCCAGAAGAACCAUUCACUCUCCUGUUAAAUAAUACAUACGGAGUAGUACUUUUAAUUUUCAUGAAGUCUUAAUUUAGGACUUACAAUUCUUUUUUUUUUUUUUAAAACCCAAAAAAGUCGGGUUGUGUUGUAUUAACAAAACAGAGGGGGGCUAGACCUGACCUCAAUACAACACUAAGCCUGGGUGAACCAACACACACAAAAGACUAGAAGGCUUACAAAAUCAACUAGUGCCUUCUAGGAGAUGAAACAAACAUGAAACUAACUUACAUAGAAAUUAGCUCUAUCAUAUUUACACCUAAUGCUUGGGAGUUGCCAUUUAUCUAGCAAGAAAGCUCCUUUAGCUUGUCUUGGAAGAACGUUGUAAGAGUGAGUGAUGAGAGUUUGGUUUGAAUUGGAGGCCAUUUUUGCUAAGAAGUCUGCUACUUGAUUUUCUUCUCUAUAACAGUGACGAACUUGCAUCUAGACUUCAUUUUUGAUGUUGUUGAUAGAGUCUAUCAUCGGUUUGAGCUUUAUAUUGGUUACCCCACUAUUGUUGAUCAUGUUAACUAAGUUCAUAGAGUCGAGUUCUAGAGUAAAAUUGGUAUGCCCGAAUUGAUAGCACCAUUUUACGCCAAACUCAGUCGCCAUGGCCUCAGCCAUGUUGUUGCUAUUAGAAUAGAUAGGAAUAGAGAAUGCCAUGAGAAGAUCUCCGUGACUAUUUCUAACUAGUCCCCCAAUUCCAGCUCUCCCAUUUUCACGAAUGUAGCUGCCAUCCGAGUUGAUCUUUAACAUCCCGGCAAAAGGCAUUUUCCAGGUGACUCAUCUAAUCCUCUGAGUUGGCCUAAGACGUUUAAUUUCAAGACAAAAAUCUGGCUAGUUGUUUUUCUCAUGGAAGCUAGUACCAGUUCUUGUCAAAACGAUUUUGAUAUUCCCAAUUGCUUGAUAACACAUCUUAUUCCUACAGAAGUAUCUUUGCCCUCCAUAUUUGCAGGCACACCGUUGCUUCCAAAUCUCCCAGCAUAUUAUUGUAGGGUGAUCUUCAGGAUCAUUUUGUGAAUUUCAUUGAUUGGUUUUAUACCCCACCACGCCUUAAAAAUUUGGGUCGUAGGUUGAUUAGUAUGUUGAAUGCCCAACGGAUUCCCUAGGGUGCUCCAUAGUUGUGUUGAUGCUUCGCCAUCUCCAAAAACAUGAUACAUUGUAUCACGUUGUGCAUUCUUACAACAAAAACAAUCAUUUUGUGAGUUGAUAUUCAUUCUAGUAAUUAUGCAUUGAAAGGAAGUUUCUUUUUAAACAUUCUCCAAGUUAAGAAGGAUAUUUUAAAAGGAAGCCUAUUAUGCCAGAGAUUAUUUAGAAAACUAUUUUUUGGUCUUUGUUUUCUAACUAGCUGUCAUGCAGAAUAGUUAUCAAAUAGACCAUUUUCGGUAUUAUUCCAAAUGGGAUAGUCCUUCUCAGUGUUGUUACCGAUUGCUAUGUUGGAUAUGAUAUCCACAAUAUAAUCGGGAACUACAUUGUUUAACUUAAUGAUGUUUCAAGAAUUAUUCAGGAUAAAAGAUUUAACGGGAGUUUUGGAAGACUUACCCGGGCCUUGGCAAAGUUUAGCCAAGGCCCCUAUACCUGUCCAGUUGUCCCACCAAAAACAUGAAUUGCCUUGUUGUACUUUCCAAAUAAUGUGUGGUUCAGCUUGCUCUUUGAUUUUCAUCAAGCUUUUCCAAUUAUGUGAAUCCCCAGAAGUUAGCUUUUUUCCAACUGGAUGUGAUCUUUUGCAGUACUUGUUGAUUAAGAAUUGAGCCCAGAGAGAAGUUUGAGUUCUGAACCUCCACCAUCUCUUUACAAUCAAGGAGUUACAAAUGUCCCUCAUUCUUCAAAUACCAAUACCUCCUUCAUCUUUUGGGAUACACAAGUUUUCCCACUUAGACCAGUGGUACUUAUUUUUACCAUCACUAGCUCCCCAAAAAAAGUUAGCAAAAUGAUUUUCGAUUAGAUUAAGAGUGUCAGUGGCAGGGUUAAGGGACGACAAAUUAUAUAUAGGAACAGAUUGAAGCACAUGAUUAAUGAGGAUGACCUUACCUCUGUGUGAUAACAUGUUACUUUGCCAUCCAUUAAUCCUUUUAACAAUUUUAGCAACCAUUUUAUCAAAAUAGCUAAGAUUCUUUCUACCAUGGUAGAUUGGACAACCCAAAUAAUAGAAGGGGAAAGAUUUAUCCAUGUAGCCAGUCACUCUCCUAAGCCUGUUAAUUCUAUGUGGAGCCGUAUUAAGAGCAGUAAUAGAGAAACUCUUAGCAUCUUUAACUAGUUGACCAGAGGCAUUCUUAUAUCUUCUAAUUUGAUGCUUAAUGAGUUUGAUGGUUCUAUUAUUAACUCCGCGGAAAAUAACUAUGUCAUCAGCAUAAGCAAGAUGAUUAAUGAGGAGGUUGUUAGUGUUCAUGCUAAAAGGAGUAAAAUACUCAUGAGAAUUCAAUCUAUUUAGCAUUCUAGACAACAAUUCAGAACCAAUAAUAAAAAGAGAAGGGGAAAGAGGGUCACCUUAUUUAAGACCAUGAGAUAAACUGAAGAAGCCCACUCUCUCACCGUUGAUAAGGAUGGAAUACCAAACAUUGGAAAUCGUUCUCCAUAUAAUGUCAAGCCAAAUACUAGAAAAACCAAAUUGUUUCAUGACACUCAUUAAGAAAUACUAGGACAUUCUUUCAUAUGCCUUGGUCAUGUCCAAUUUCAUAAUGGCAUUGCCCCCUCUGUUAUAAUGUUUAAUACCAUGGGCAAUUUCUUGAGCUAAUAAAAUAUUUUCAUUGAUUAGCCUUCGUUUAACAAAGACAUUUUGAUUUUUAGAAAUAAGUUUUCCUAGAAGGGGAUUAGGUCAUCUAGAAAGAAUUUUAGAAAUUAUUUUACAAGUGAAAUUGCUUAGACGGAUUGGUCUAAAUUCAGAAAUUUAUUUGGUGAAUCGAUUUUAGGAAUCAACAUUAAGCAAGUAUGAGUAUAAAACUUGGACAGAUUCUUUCCUCAAAAAAAAUCCUGAACAUAAUCUAUAAUAUCAUACUGAACGAUAUCCCAACAUUUAUGGAAAAAGAUACCUGAAUAACCAUCAGGACCUGCAGCACUUGUUGCACUCAUAUUAAAGACUGCUUCCUUAAUCUCGUCCAACACCGGGACUGCAAUAAGAACGCUAUUUUCCUCAUCAGUAAUGCAAGUGUCAAUAUAGUUCAUAAUGUUAAAAUCAUCAAAAAUAUGAGAAAAAUUAAAUAGUUUUUCAAAGUGAUGAACUGCAACCUUGGCUAUCUUUUUGUCUCCUUGAAUCCAUCUAUUUCUAUGAUUCUUGAUUCUGUAUAUUUGCGCCCUUCUUCUUCGUCCUCUGAUAACACUAUAAAAGUAUUUGGUGUUUGAAUCUCCUUUUUCCCACCAUCUGAUUUGAGCUUUUUGUUUCAGAAUACUAUCUUGAUGGUUCAUCCAUUUAAAGUAUUUUGCCUGUCCCCCAUUCAAAUCUUCCCUGCUCUUAUCACUGGGAUUGUUGAGAUCCUCUUCUUCCAGUUCCUUCAUCUUGAUCUCCCACUUUUUCACUUACUCAAAGACAUCUCCAACAACCUCUUUUAACCAAGUGCUACGAUUCUUACUAAGAAGUUUAAGCUUCUGUUGGAGUCUUCAUUGAGUAUUACCAGAUAUAUUAGUACUCCAGAUCUCUUUUACCAGCUGCAAAAAGGUUGGUUGAUCAGCCCAAAAAUCUAAAAACCUAAAGUAUUUGAUUCGACUAUGUUGGUUGUCAAAGCAUUCAACUAAAAGAGGCCUGUGAUCUGAUCCAGCUCUUGGAAGGUGUCUGAUGACAUUAUUCUGAUAAGAGUCGGCCCAUUCUUCGUUAAUGAACACUCUAUCUAGCUUCUUUUAAAUUCUCCUUUUUAGAAUUCUGUUAUUGCACCAAGUAAAUUUUGGGCCUAUAAAACCUAAAUCCGCAACUUCACAAACUUUCAUGCAGCUACUAAAGUCAAGGCUCUUAGAAAUUCGAUGAGGUCUGCCACCUAUCUUCUCCUCUGGAUCAAGAAUGACGUUGAAAUCCUCACUAACACACCAAGGUCCUUGAAUAAGCCGAUGUACUCUUUCCAGGUUAUCCCAUAGGAUUUUCCUUUCGGCGGAAGUGCAUUUAGCAUAGACAGUAGUAAUGUAGAUAACUUUUCCAAUAUUGGGAUUAUGCAUCUUUAUAGUGAUUUGUUGCUCUGUAUUAUCAAUAGUGGAGGUGUUAUAGUUUCCCUUCCAGAAUAACCAAAUUUGUCCAUUCAGAGUAGUGAGGCUAUGUUGGUAACCAAAAUACUUCAUGUACUUGUCAACCUUGUUCAAACCCAAGAAAGGUUCAAAUAGGGCUACAAAAUCAACUUUAUGAAUACUGAUGAGAUUUCUAAGUCUAUGAUUGGCUUUUUUGGUUCUAACUCCUCUAAUAUUCCAAAAGACAGCUUUUAUCAUGGAUAUUAGAUGAUAUUGUUUUUGGUUUCCUUUGCUUUGUGGGCAUAGGAGCUUUCUUCUUUCUUUUUUUGUGCAUUUUCUUUCUUUCAUUUCCUCUUAGCUUCACAGCUGAAAAUUCAGCAGUAUCAUCCGUAUUUUGUUGUUGAUGCACUGGUUUGUCCGAUAACGUCACCACUACCUUGUUAGGAGAGAUCAUUUGAAAUUGAGGAUCAAUUUCAUUCUCUUUUUGCUUGAUGGUGGCUGGUUUUUGAAUGCCUUGUUGAGUAAGAUCAACAACCAAGUUUAAUCCCAACAUAUUUUUAAUAACAGAUGAAACUUCCUAUGCUAGUUCAUGGAUUGCGUCCGUCGGUGUUCGUUUUUGUAAAUUCUGAUUAGAGCUUUCUUCGGUGUUCUUUGAGAAAUGCACGUUUUCUUUAUAGAAACUGCUCAAGUCGUUUGGGCUAUCAUUUUGUCUUUCUCUGUCCUUCUGUAUUUCCCCUUGUUGUAGCGAUUCACUUUGUCCUCCUUCUUCGUUGUUGUCGCGAUUUAGAUCAUCUUCUCUAUUGUCGUUUAGAUUUAUGGGAGUCUUGAUUGCUUCCUCUGGAGCUUUCACUUUGGAGGCAGCUUUCAGUUGAUUUUUCUUGGUCCUUUUACCAAUCUGCUGAACAAUAUUCGGCUUAAAGGAGACUUUGGAUUUCUUUUUCGGAAGCUUCCUUUUCUUCUCCUUCUUCUUAUUCUUAUUGAUUCUUUCACUAAUCGUAGCAAGAUUCUCUUUCUUUUUCUGUUCCACUUUUUUGCUCGCAUCUUUCUUUCCCUUAGGUUUUUCCAAAUUAUUCUCAUCAUCGUUAUCUACAUUGUCCGUUUUCGGUGUUCUACCUUGUUCAUUCUGCCUUUCAGCGUUAGUAUGUUCAGCAUUGUCCUUUUCCCUGUUUUGCUCUUCAAGUUUCUGUUGCUCAAUCGCCCUUUUCCUUUCCAAUACUCUACAAUUAGCUAUGGCAUGACCCAGUUUUCUACAAUUUUUGCAAUACAUGGGGAUCCCCUUAUAUUCAAGUUUCUGCAUAGAACUUGUCUGCGGGGAAUUCUCAUGAAUUAAGCCAACAUAAACCGAUUUUGGCUGAGGUUUGAGCAAGUCAAUUUCUACUCUAACCUUAGCCAUACUUGGUCUAGUUCUACUUCUUGUAGUUUGGUCCAUUUCAAGAGGUGUACCCACAAAGCUGACUAUUUGUUUGAUAUAUUGCCAUGCAUAUGGAAUGGAAGCUUAGGGAGAAGGACCCAUACCGGAGCGAUAGGCAAAUCCUCCUCCGGCUUGAAGUCCGGCGUCCAUUUUUGCAACCACAUCUGUUGUCCCUCAAUUUCAAUGACUCUCUUGAACCACACUGCAUUGAAGUCCUCCUCAUUUGUGAAAUCGAGAAACACAUUAAAAUUAUCAUAAACCUCUAUUUUGGUCAAUCCUUUAAUGGUGACCAAUUCUUUGAAUUUUGAUCGGAUUAUAUCUAUUUGGGGUCUUGAUUUAAGAAAUCUACCCACUAUUGUGAGUCUACACUCUUCAGCCAUUAUACCAUAAUAAUCUGACGCCUUGAACAUUACGGCAGGGACUCCAUUGUGAGUAGUGUGUUUUGCUUUGACCUAUUCUUUCUUCUGUCGAACUUCCAUGAGAUUUGGUUACGGGAUGAGUUAGGGGAUGAGCUAAUUGUGGCGGCAUAUGAAGUUUUUCCUGCAAUUGCAGCUGUAGAUGGGUUCGCCCCUUUGGGUGGGAUCAUUUGAGCAUCCAGACGCGCCUUAUCGGCGCCGUCCGGCGGGUCCAUGCACGGAGCGUGUAUGAUACGCGGCAGGAAUAUGACCGUUUGACAGAAAAGUUAGAGAGAGAAAUUUUUGACCAAGUGUUAAGGACUUACAUUUCAAAACCAUAAUCUGAUUUUUGUUACGAAUGUUGGACAUUUUUCUUUCGUACUUACAUCAAACUAGAUAAAGAAAAUGGAAACAAAAGUUCCCCUCAAUAAUUUCAUACUGUUGUUUAUUUCUUCACUUUCUUACUAAUGUAAUUGUUUAUUUUCCUCACUUUCUUACAGCAUAUCUGGCGGUGUUCCUCCCACAACUGAUGUCUGAGGAGCUGGUGGAGAGGGGGGGGGGGGGGGGGGUGACCACCGCUGACGAGUACGCCAAAAGUUAAUGGGAGGACUUUCAGGAAACUUAUAUACCCGAAGAGUCGUUGCAUCAGGCAAACUUUCAAUUCCUUCUCCAUGACUCAGCUCUGAGAAUGAGCAAACUACCAACAUUGAGAGUUGUAAAAGCACUAGACCUUUCACUGGAACAACACCCAUAUUUUUGUUAACUCAACUCAAAUGUCUAAAACUAGGUUAAAGGGAUCGAAUGUAUUUACAAACUUGGGGAAUAUGUACUCAUCUGCCGCAAGUUCGGUAAGACGCAAAUGUUUUAACCCAAAUAUUAUGUGAUAAAUAUAUGGAUUAAUCAAAGGAUUUAAUCUAAUUAAAAUAAUGCUCCAUUUACAAUAAAACUCGGAUUUUCGAUGAUAAAUUAAAAAGCUCACGCAUGGCUGCCAAUUGUUAGACUUAAUUACCGACGGAUAAAACUCCUUGAAGUUCAUUUACAUACAAACAAAUAAAAAAGAGAGAAGGGAAUGGAUAACCAAUUCUGAUGGAUUUCUGAAUAUUAUAUAGAUGGAAAAUUUUAGAUGUUGAAUUCAUGCAAAUGGCCCAAUAGAAGAGAAGGGGCCCAAGCUAACAAGCUAAAGCUGUACAACUGGUAAACAUUACACAUUUAGGUCUAUAUUAACCUGACAUCCUGAAAUAAUUACAUUAGGUAGCUCUAUAUCAAAAAUACAGUUAUAUAAUAUAAAAAUACAGUUAUAUAUUAUUGUGUAUAAAUUAUAUAUAUGUAUGUAUAUUAUAUAUUAAUGUACAACUAGGAUAAUCAUGCAUGCUGCAUAUAUCUUUCUCCAUAAUUCCAUAUAAUCCAGUAUAUAUACUCAAGAUCCUUACAUAGACAUAUACGUGAAGUGAAGGAAUUUACUAAUUCCAUUUUAACGUGUGCACUUUUCAUCUUGACAAACAUGCACUAAGGUAGAGAUUAUUAGUAAUUAUCAUAGUAAAGGGAAGAAAAAAUUAGGGUAUUGAAAUAGAUCUUUGAAUAACAUAUACUUUAUCUAAAACCGUAAGCAAAAUAAUACUUUUAUUUACUUGAUUAUAUAUACUUAACGAUAUUUAUUGAAUAUAUACUAGUAAUUGUUAGCAUAUAUCCAUUACAUGUUUGUGCAAUGCGACCAGAUCUCCUUUUAUAGUUCCGGUUAUUUUGUCAUUGCUUAUGUAUUUUAAUUUCUUAAUCAUUUCUUCGUAAAACAAAGAUACAGAGAAAAAAUUAGGAGUUUAAAAUUCUAAAACCAUUCUUGCAUUUGUAUUAAUCAAUAGAUAAUACUCAUAUAUAUUCUAAGUUAUCGCGAGUUUCGGUUUCAGAUUUACGAUUGAAAAUAAUCUGUGUAGUAUUAAUUAUUUUCCCAAUAAAUAAAUUCAUUGGUCAGCAUAUCAGUUGAUGUAUGAAAUGACUCAUCUGCAUCUGGUGAUAGUGCCGGUGACAGAACCUCUGGUGGUGGAGGAAAUGGUUGCUCAGCAUGUGGCAAUGGUACCGGUGACUGAGCCUCAUCAUGUGGUGGAGGAGCUGGUUGCUCAACAUCUGGUGGUGGAGGUGGUUGCUCAUCAUGUGGUGCAGGAGCUGGUUGCUCCACAUCUGGUGGUGGAGGUGGUUGCUCAUCUUGUGGUGGCGGAGGUGGUUGCUUAUCUUCAGGUGGCGGUGGUGG